CUGGAUCUCGCUCCCGGGAGGGACCCCGUCGGGAAGGAGAGAUCCUAGGUGGUGUCUAGGCUCGGGCCGGCCGACCUAGACUCCUCUAAUCGACGUAGAGCCGAAGAGAGACGAAGAAUUUGGGGAUUGGAUAGCUAAACCUAAACUAGACUAGAACUACUCCUAGGAUAAAAUGUAAAUUGUAUUGAUUGAAGGUUCGAUUCGUUGUUUUCAAAUCGGCCGUAGACCUCUCUAUUUAUAGAGGAGGAGGGCUAGACCCGUUACAAACAAAUUUCCGAGUGAAUCCCGCGAAUCUAGCUAACAACCGUAGCACAAAACUCGGAACCCUAAACUGCUCUGCGCACGCGCGGACCGUCCGGCCCCCAGGCGCGGACCGUCCGCCCUGCUCAAAAUGGGCUCCAACACUAGGUCGUAUACGCAGCUUGUUUUGGAAACAGCAGCUAUUGAGAUUCUCUCACUUCUUGUGCCUGCUGCUCAAAUAGUGUCCUCUUUGGUCCAAAUAAUAGCACAUGUACAAGCAAUACUUAUACAGUCAAAUAGUGGCUAAGGAAUGUCAGGUGGUUUGGGGCAAAGUUCUAGGCUGCCAACUUCUCCUUCAGGGGCUGCUGAAUCCUCAGGUCCCAACCAAGCGAACAGUGCUGCAAUUGGCAUCAAUGCCACUAACUUUGUUUCUAGGAGUGGUUACUCCUGCCAACAAUUGUCUGUUUUGAUGAUUCAAGCAUGUGGUCUUCUGCUGGCACAACUCCCACCAGAAUUCCACAUGCAACUAUACUCAGAAGCAGCUCGAGUCAUAAAAGACUGCUGGUGGCUUGCUGAUGGUUCCAGGCCUGUUAAAGAGCUUGACUCUGCUGUUGGCUAUGCACUGUUGGAACCUACAUGGGCUUCCCGAGACAAUACAUCAACAGCCAUAGGUAGUACAUUUUUCUUUAGUCUUGUGAGCUGGAUCAGAUCAGAGUUAACUUAAUGGGAAAUUAUAUUGCGUCCUUGUUAGCUAAAAUACCAUAUUGUAAUGUUUCAAAAAUAAUCACAAAAAUCAUGUAUGUAGUAGACCUAAAGUUAAGUGUAGCCGCAAUAAUUCAGUUUAAAAUUCAUCUUUGAUGUUGAGAUUAAAAAAACAGAAGUGUCACUGUCAACACAUGGUGAACAGUGUCAGGUUGACUGCUUGUCUAUUUUAUUUCUUGGCAUCUAGGAUGAAUUUCAAACUGAAUUGUUGUAGCUAUACUUUAUGUGUAUUACAUACAUGACUUUUAUGUUGACUUUUGGAACAUUGCAGCUUGGUGUUUUAGCUAUCAAUGGCGCCAAACCUGCACUCUAAGGCCCCGUUUGGUUUGGGCUAACUAAAGUUUAGUGACUAAAGUUUAGUCACUUUUAGUCACUAAAGAAGCAAACAUAAUGACUAAAGUGGGGUGACUAAACUUUAGUUCUUUAGUCACCAAAUGGGUGACUAAAAGGGACUAAAUUAAUAUUUUUACCAUAUUUGCCCUCUACACUUUCUUCUUAUAGCAAACAUCCAUUAAUUAAUAGGGGUAAAACAGUCAUUAUUCACAGCAAUUAAUGCUCUUUAGUCCGGUUUAGUCACUGGAACCAAACGGGUUACUUUAGCGACUAAACUUUAGUCACUAAAAUUUAGUUUAGUGACUAAAGGAACCAAACAUGGCCUAACUUAAUAUGCUAGUGCCUCACUUAUGUCUUAUGUCGUUUGUGCUUUGGUUGCAGUAACAUUGUUGCCCUUCUGCAUUCCUUUUUUAGCAAUCUUCUACAAGAGUGGCUGGAAUCUACUUUUACUGUCAUCAAACACCUUCGGCCAGUCAAUUCAAUUGUCAUUAUUGCAUUCAUAAUAGUAUAGAACUUUGUAUUAUUUUAUUUUCCUCAUCAUGUGAACCUAUGCUGAUAUUGCAUUUUAUUUAGUUAAGAACAUUACCUUUUGUGCUCACCAUCCAACUAAAAUAAUUCCUCUACUGCUCUUUUCCCCCAUUGAAAGACCAUUAUUUUAUAUUAGUAUGUCAUUCACCUUCAUUUAGCUUAUGUUAUUUUUUAAUUACCAAUAAUCAAAUUCAUUGUACAACAGUCUAUCAUCAUAUGAAUUAGUUUGAAUUUAAUUCUCUAACGUAUAAAUUAGUUUGAAUUGAAUUAUUUUGCAAUUGAAUAUGGAGUAAAACUCGUUAUAAGUAAUUUUAGCAGCAAAUUUGUUCUCUAGGUGUUCUCCAUUUGAACCUAUGGUUUACCAUAAAUCAUGCAGUCCAUAGAGCUAUAAUGAAAAGAGAUGCAAUAGAUGCUGAACAUUAGAGUUGCAGUGAAAGAAGGUGCUAAUUUUCAGUGGUUACCUGAACACCACUGGACCGAGCAGCACGUUGAGAGGCUUUGUAGUCAUCCUCGCUCUCCGUCAUGCGCGCAGUCCUCGUCUUCCUUGGAGUCGUGGUAGGGAUAUCCUGACAAAGAUAGCGCUUACUGAGCAAUACUGACGAACGUAGGUGUUAGGGAGGGACAUCGGAGGAGUUACCAGACCUACCGACGCGUCGCGGUCGUCCACGCUCUCUGGGAACUACUCCGGCUCUGGCACACAUGCGUGCUCGAGCUCGUACACAGAGGAGAAGGCGUGAUGCCUCAAACAUGCUCACUAUUUAUCUUCAUCGACUGUGUGUUGUCCCAGGCGAAGUGGAAGUCGUGCAGAUUUAGUGGAACUGGACGGUUGCUCUGAUUGUGUCGUGGAAGUAGUGCGCGGGAGUGGGGGGAAUCCGCUAACUAGGGGAAAUGCGGUCGUGGGAGAGCAGUUGCUCCGAUUGUGAGUGGAUCUGCGGUACGGGGUGGUUGGGUGGGCAGUGAAGGCCGCCGAGCUAGGGAAGGAGCUGUGGAAGCCGUCAGCUAGGGAGAGAGGUGGUGGAGGCCGCUGGCCGGGGAUGGGGUUGUGGAAGCCGCCAGCUAGGGGGAGAGGCGGAGGAGGGCGCCGACCGGAGGAGGAGGCCGCCGUCGGUGGAGGUCUGGAGGAGGUUGUGUUCUGUCCUUACUGGAGAACGAAGACCGUGGCUCAGGAGAGAAAUCCUAGGGUUAAUAAGUGGUUGUUUGCUGAACACCCUAAAAGAACAAAAAACGCGAGAUUGUAUGUAAUCCAGCAUGAGUCAAGUUGGCUAGAGGGUGGGAGGCUAAACAUUCUGCUCGAGACAUCCAGGGUUCGAUCCCUGAUCCACAGUAGGAUUUUUUUUACUGCGGACAGUAAAGGGAACAUGGGAGGGCAGAACAGAGUGGCAGCCUACCCUCUACAUUCUACAUAGUAGUAGAGAUUAUAUAUAUAGGUCUAUUGAUCCAUACCUAUUUCUAUGCGUUCCCAAUGGCCGGACCGUCCAGCCUUCCUAGAUGUCACAUAUGGUGCUCAACAGAAGUUAUCAUGUUUUUGUUGUCUUUAUCCGAUUGCAUAUAUGGAAGGUUAUACGGGAGAAUAGAUCUAUGCAGUUUAUGUCAACAUGCUUCGUGCAUGACACAUGAUAGUAAAAACUUAUGUUUCAAAGGAGUAGAAAUUAGAUGGUUCUUAAGUAGUACCUCCGUUCUCGAAUAUUUAUCGUCCGCUAGUUUAUUUUUAAACAAAAAUGUGACAAAUAUAAAAACGGAGAGAGUAUAUUUUAAUAUGCACUUUAUCUCAAUUUAAAAUCACCAAUCUUUAAUUACCUUGUCAUAACUGUUGAGUACCAAAAUGAGGACCGGACGCUCCGCGCGUGCGCAGAACGGAUUAGGGUUCCGAGUUUUGUGCUACGGUUGUUAGCUAAAUUCGCGGAAUUAGCUAGGGAGAUUAGUUUGUAAAGGGUCCAGCCCCCCUUGUCUAUAAAUACAGGUAUACGACCGAUUUGUAAUCAUCAAUCGAAUCAAUAACACUUUUAUCUCGCAUUUAUUUCAUGUACAAUUAGGAGUAGUUCUAGUCUAGUUCUAGUUUAGCCUCUCAAUCCCCAAAUUCACCACUUCUCUUUGAAUCUACGUCGAUUAGAGGAGUCUAUGUCGGUCUACCCGAGCCUAGACAUCACCUAGGAUCUCUCCUCCCCGACGGGGUCCCUCCCGGGAGCAAGAUCCAGGCGCCGCCGACAACCUUCGCCGCCCCCUGCGCACGUGCGGACCGUCCGGCCCCAGGGCGCGGACCGUCCGGCCGUCAGGCAGGAAAACCCUAGCCCUGCGCCAGGUCGUGGACCGUCCGGCCCCUGGCCGCGGACCGUCCGCCCCUGUGCAGAGAGCACCGCCGCGGGUUCUUGUGUAGUGAUUGGUGCCUCAAAAAGGCACCAACACACUUUUUGGCGACUCCACUGGGGACGAUUUCGUACAGAUAUAUCGAGAUCGGCCCCCAAUGGCCAGUUCAAAGGAUAGCUCUGAAGUUUCCACCAGCAAUAUCAUCAAGCUGACAUGGGAAACCUUGUCGGCUGAAGAACAACUCCUAUUCGAGGAGCGUCAGGAGCAGCUGAUCCAGGAAGCAAAGGCGAAAUUUCUGGCCGACUUCAAGGUGGACAGGAACAACAAAGUCGUUCGACAACGGGCGACAGAUCUGGCUUCGCUCCGACCUACUACGAAUACCCCCAAUGUAAGUAGCACCAAUGAACUCCAAUCUCUUAAAGCUUACAUAGACGAACAGCGAGAGCAGAUGCAACGUAUCGUAGGGGAUAUACAAAAUGAUCAUAAAAGGCUAGUGUGUGCUCUUGAUAAGUCUACUAUUGCAAAUCUUCCUUCGCACGAGGUUGAACUAAGGGAAUACACACGUAAUUCAUCGGCUACAGGUUGUCACGACCAAUCACAAUCCCUUUAUGGGAUGCCGAUAGACAUGUACCUUGGGCAACAACAGCCUCCCACGCACAUCGGCGAUAAAUUUGUCGAUCUGCGCAUGUCCGGACCGUCCGCACUUGAGCGCGGACCGUCCGGGCCAGCGCGCGGUCGAGCCCAUUUUUAGAAGCGAAUUACCGAGUCCUGCACCCAAGCCGCCACAUACCGUGCAAACCCUAGAUAACCCAUUCAGACCAUCCGCGUAUGAUGCCAGACAAUCCGAAUAUAAUGUUGGACGGUCCGCGUAUUUAACCGGACGGUCUGGCACAGAGUUUUUUGAGAAUGAUGGAUAUCCAACUCCGUAUCCGUCCCAGCUAGACUCCCCAUCUCACCAUACGACACACCAGCACCAUAAUAUGAUUUACCAAACCCAUGAGGGUGAGUACUUUCCGGGCUCCAAAAGGCCAGAAAGGAAUGGCCAGUCCUAUGAGCCUCAUAGGGCAUGUAUUAACGCGUCGCAAAACCCAAACCAAUGGGGAGGAAAACAACAUACCAACAUCCAAACAAACUCACCCAUAUUGGACCAAAGAGUCGGUGAUCUCCCACCAGUUGCCAUUGAUAUAGUAAGAGAGGAAAUAGAUGGGGCGUUCCGAGAUAAGCUCGGAGUUAGUAUAGUCCCCGGGGGGCAUUCAUAUCGGAGACCUUACAAUAGCCAGUUUGACCAUCUCCCAUACCCACAGGGGACCAGAAUACCCAAAUUCGCAAAGUUUUCGGGUGACCAAGGAAAGAGCACGCGAGAGCACAUAGACCAAUUCUUAGCACAGUUAGGAGAAUUGGCCGACACCGAAGCAUUCCGUGUACGUUUAUUUUCAUUAUCUUUAACAGGGACUGCAUUCACAUGAUAUGCCACGCUCCCUCCUAAUUCCAUUUUGUCAUGGGGAGACUUAGAACAAAAAUUUCAUAAACAUUUCUUCUCUGGCGAUUACGAGCAAGAUUUAGUAGACUUAGUGGCUCUACGACAAGAAAAGGAUGAAUCGGUUAGUGAUUACAUCCGGAGAUUCCGGGAUACGAGAAACCGAUGCUUUCAAAUUCAUUUAACAGAUAAACAACUGGCGGGAAUAGCCUUUGAUGGAUUGCGCUAUUAUUUAAAAGAGAAAUUAGAAGGCAUCCAGUUCUUUAUGCUAGCACAAUUACAUCAGAAAGCUUUGGCUUGUGAAAGCCGAAGCAAAGAACUAGUUAAAAUGGUUCAUCAUAGUGUCCAUAUAGUAGAACACAAUCAAAGUAGUUCGGACGAUGAACCAAAGGAAGUUUACACUGCCGAAAUAGUUUGACCCGAGCAGGCCAAAUCUUCGGCUUGCUCCUCCUUGCAGUCAGUUCAAAAGAAACGACAUGAGGAGGUUAAGUUUACAUUUAAUGUCGGCAAAUGUGAUAAGAUAUUCGAUGAAUUACUAAAAAUGGUAACAUUAAGAUCGAUUAUAUCGUUCCACCCGCCGACGAACUAAAGCGUCGCGCAUAUUGCAAGUGGCACAACUCAUUUUCCCAUGCCACUAAUGUUGUAAUGUGUUUCGACGACAAAUCCAAUCGGCCAUUAACGAUGGACGAUUGGAAUUUCAGGAGGACACGGAGCCCUUCCCAAUGAAUGUGAUCGACUUCAAGAGAAAAAAGAUCAUAAUUCGGCCCAACAUAGCCGAUAAGGGCAAAGACAAAGAAGUCAUCAUCGGCAACGCAUGGGAGACGGAUGGAAACAACAAAAUCUCUUGCAGAAAAGUGGUGGCCGAGAAGACUCAUAAUGGAGGGGAGACACUGAAGGUGACCAUCACAACCGCCGGCACUGGAGGGCAAGCGCAGACAAGGGGACAUGCGCGAGAACCCAUACUACGCAUCGUGGACAGUCUGGUGCCCAGGCGCGGACGGUCCGUAACAUCACCGGACGGUCCGGAGCGUUCUAGCGAAUGGUCCGACAACGACAAGGAGCCACAACGACCACGUACCUUCAAACCACGACGACCAGAAAUAGGUACGUGGAAAACUAACACGUUCAAGGCCGCUGGUCAGUUGGUAAAAAUCAGCCCGACCUUUGAUCAAUUAUUGUCUAAAUACGUGAAAAAGAAGGCCAGCCCCAGUGAUCGGCCACCAAAGAGGUCUCACUUACCCACCCAGGAGCAACAACAGGUUAGGCCGAUUGGACCACCUCACCAAUCGGAAAGGACGGGAGGUCAUAAUGUCCAACUAAGACCUAACGUACACGCAUGGACACCUCCACUCCCAUACACACCUAUGUCAUAUCAUUAUACAUACAUACCACCACCACCAUAUAUCCCGAAUCAGAUGUGGGGUAUGCCACCAUAUCCUUUUGGGGCACCACAAUACUCCGCUUGGGGGGCACCCUAGUCAUCUGUCUUUGCUAGGUUGACGCCUCCAGUACAAGAUCGAUUGAGAGCCCCUCAAUCUAGUCCACGAGCACAGGCCCAGCAAGAUUGCCGAACCACUCGACGCCAAAGGCUGACUAAUCCAGUAGGGGGUAUAUAGCUACGGCCUCCAACAGUACGAUAAAAGGGGAUGUCAUUGAAAUAGGAACAACAGAUGUCAUCGUACAACAAAAUAACGAAGGGCCGAUGAUUUCUGGUAAAUCGGCCAACACAAACAAAAAAGAAGAUACGACUGUCAACAAAACGGCCGAUUCAAAAUACUCCAUGCCCCGAUGGUGCCCAUCGGGAUUGACGCGACCGCAAAAGCGAAAAUUACAGCGUCUAAGAGCAAAGGAGAACCAGGAAAAGGAGGCGGAAAAAUAUUCAAUGACACGCAUCCGCAGUAUCCGCCACCACAAAAGAGAUGGAGACCAAAGGCCGUUGAGGAAAAUCAAACAACCACAAAGAUAAAAAAUAUAACAACAACUGUGCAGCUCUUUGCAGGUAUGGCAGACAGUCCAGCUAUAAAUACCGGACCAACCGUACAGGGCGUGGACCAUACAACCCCUGAGUCCGGACCGUCCACACUACACCAGGACACCUCCAACGAUGUACCGACACCCAUGGAGAAAGACGACCUACAAGGAGAAGACCUGGUUGACUACGGAGCUACGCCAGAGCACUCAGAAAAUUAGGAAAGCAAGAUGAUGAAUUGGUCAAGACCAGUACGACACUCGGCGAUAUUGGGAUUGACAGUCCGAUCAAAGCUAAACGGGUCACGUCCGUUGAGUUAACCAUCGGGACCAAGACCCUUGUAUACUAUCCUAGUAGGUGGCAAGAUGUCUAAGAAAACCUAUGUGAUCACAUCGGGUUAGUUGCUUUUGGUUCGCUCAGCUCCACAAAAAGGCAGGGGGCAUAUGUUGAGUACCAAAAUGAGGAUCGGACGGUCUGCGGUCCGGACGGUCCGCGCGUGCGCAGAACAGAUUAGGGUUCCGAGUUUUGUGCUAUGGUUGUUAGCUAAAUUCGCGGAAUUAGCUCGGGAGAUUAGUUUGUAAAAGGUCCAGUCCCCUCUAUAAAUACAGAGGUACACGACAGAUUUGUAAUCAUCAAUCGAAUCAAUAACACUUUUAUCUCGCAUUUAUUUUCUGUACAAUUAGGAGUAGUUCUAGUUUAGCCUCUCAAUCCCCAAAUUCAUCGCUUCUCUUCGACUCUACAUCGAUUAGAUGAGUCUAGGUCGGUCUACCCGAGCCUACACAUUACCUAGGAUCUCUCCUCUCCGAUGCGGUCCCUCCCGGGAGCGAGAUCCAGGCGCCGCCGGUGACCUUCGCCGCCCCCUACGCACGCGCGGACCGUUCGACGACCUUCGCCGCCCCCUACGCACGCGCGGACCGUCCGGCCGUCAGGCAGGAAAACCCUAGCCCUGCGCUAGGUCGCGGACCGUCCGGCCCCUGCCAGCGGACCGUCCGCCCUUGUGCAGAGAGCACCGCCGCGGGUUCUUGUGUAGUGAUUGACGCCCAAAAAGACACCAACAAUAACUCACAAAAACCCACAUGAGAUCUAGCGUCACUUUUAUUUCUAAACGAUCAACUAAAAAAUAGGCCUAAACGCACUUUCCAUAAGUCUAAUAUCAAGGCCACAUCCCACAUGCCCGAUGCCCCUUAAAAAUUACAAAGUUAGCCGACCUAAUCAGUGUAUCUGGUGAGAUCAAACCAUUAUAUUUUAAUCCGAAACGUCCGACGGUGACCUUAAGUUUUGACCCAAAAUUUGAAUUUUUUUUGGACAAACAUAAUAAGGAUGUGCAAAACGUCGAGUGAACAUGAGGUUCAUAUCGAAUUGAAGCAAACACAGUUUAUUUCGUUUACGCACACUUGAGAAUCCAGGUCAUCUGUCUAAGUCCUUGCAAAUACAUCAUUUUUUUCUAUGUUUUUUUGAAAAUAAACUGACUGAUAUAAAAAUCCGUACAUUAGUGGGCCGUAACCUCCAGCAGCUACCCUGCGACGUGCGGAUUUUCGCCCCAGGCACACUCUGUUUUCUGUACUCUGUUCUCUCCCUUGUCCCCAUGCAUACAGCAUACUUCAGCCUCUCUCUCGGUUCUCCCGGGCCCCUCGCGUGCGCUCUGUCUCUGUCGCCGUCGCCGUCGCCGCCGCCGCCAACCUACGCCAAGUGCCCAGAUCUCCACCCUCGGGACCUUCGCCGGCAGCGAACACCCACCACCAGGUACGCCCAUCCCUUUUCCGUUCCUGCCGUGCGAAACAGUGUACUACUACACCCAAACUUUCUGCAUUCGGAUCUGACUAGAAAAAACCUAGGGCGCCGCGUUGCCGCGCCGUCUUUGAGCAAGUCAGUGAUUAUAUAAGUCCCUUUAUUCAUGGGCUCUGGAGAACCUGCAAUUACCCAAGAACGUUGUAGACUUGUAGCACCUGGAAUAUUAAGAGGAAAUGGAAAAUUAAAAGAGCCACAUGUUAAAUAAUCAUUUUAAAACCCUUGGAUUUAAGAACUCACUAGCAUUUUCUAUUUUUCCUAUGGCCCAAGUGUUAGUAUUUUGAGAUUGAAGGGGAAAAGAAAAGAAGUGGUCAUGGAGUGGACCUAGAGAUCAUAUAUAGUUGUACCGGAGGCACAACCUCAACCACCAUAGUUUUGUCUGUACGAAUAUGCUUUCUCUUGCAGAGGACAAAGACAAAAAAAUCAUUGAACAUGAAUCUUAGUAGGUUUAGACAAAAACAGUAGAUUUAGUGGGAAGGGAGCAUACAGACAAUUCCUCUAGUAGAAAACAUAAAAAGGAACUCUGAUUACCAUACCACAUCAGAAAGUUAGUGCAUGAAAAUGAGUUACCUUGUUAUGAUGGGUAGUGAACUGAGAUUGAUGAAUUUUAAUAAGCUAGGUUAAAGGACUUGAGCAGAGGAGAAACUAUUAGUAAAAAAAACGAUAUAAUCUUAUAUUUUUGAGACAUUAAAGCUGUUUUACUUUUAUCUGGUUUCAAAUACUGCAAUACCUGCAAGGAACAGCUACCUUUUUCUGUUUCAAUCCACUCGUGCACCAAUGAUGUAUAUGUUUGACAAUUAGCUGACAUAACAGAUUUUUGUUUUUUCACAAUCAAUCUGAAAAACAUUACUAAGAUGAAGUGACGUAUCGUUGACUUUGUCUGAUAAGCUGAAAACCUACACGAAGCUCUAGGCGGAGAUACAUGACUAACAUCUCUAUAACGUGAAUAUCAUGAAUAACCUUCCUAGAACGUGAAAACUCAUCACAGUUACUAAACAUCUUUGUCUAUUCAGCUCUAACCAUUUGAGUUUGUUUCAUGCUAAACUUAUCUUCAAUCACGAGUCAUGAUCAACUUAUUUAAAGUUUAAAGGCCCAUAACAGUUAUUGCAUAUACCAAUUUAGUUCUGACCGAUUCUUAUGACCUAUUAUUUUACAUAUCAGUGCCAGUUUGUCGAACCGCCGCCGCCUGGGUUGCUUGACGGUGCACCAAUUUUGUUUAUAUAGAAGAGCAAAAGGCUCACACUUUUAGGUGUAAGGCCCCUGAAAGGGUAAAUUAAGAAAAAACAUAGAAAAAGCGGAUUUCUAUACAAGUGUAGAACUAUGUACAUAGAGGUGGCCCCUGAGCAACAUAUGGGCCUGUUUGUUUCAGCUUUUUUCUGACGAUCUUUUCUGAGAAUCUACCUGUGGGAAGAAUUUGGCUAUGGGGAGAAUGAGAGUAUCAUGGAGAUUACGUGCGGAGGAAGAUGAAAGAGUCCAUAUGGUUUAGGAUCUAUAAAGUGACGGAUCGCGACGACUCAGCCAAUUUUAUGUUCAUGUUGAUUUCGGACAGUUUUCACCAAAGCGAUUCUCACAAAAGCGGACUGAAAAGUUGGGCAGUCUGCGACUGCUUCUGGCGGCCAGAAGCUGAAAAAAGCUGCAACAAAUAGGCUCUAUAUAGGGAGGAAGAGAGAGAGAGAGAUAGAUAGAGAGAGAGAGGGAGGCCUUUCGUGGAUGGGGGAUUACCAUUUUUAGUGGCCAGCCGCACGCGACCCAUUUGAUAGACCUCGAUCACUCGGUAGGGACCUUCCUAGGGGGGGGGGGUAGUUUGUUCGUCCCCACCCGAUUAAGGAUGCACCAGAGCAAGAGAUCCUCUGCGACGAGUGAUUGGACUUUCACAUGGCGCAGGUGGUAAUGUCAUAGGGCCUGUUAGUAAUCCAUUACUCGGUAGAUGGCUUGGCAUCGUCGCUCUUCGAGGAGAUUUAGUUCUCCUAGCCGGAGCUGACCCUACAAGUUACCUUAAGGAAACUUGUAAAAUUUCACUUGUUGAGGGCCGCAUGAACAACAUACUUAGCUAUUCCCUUUCAGCUUUUCUCCUGAAUUCUUUUCGAGGUCUCAGGAGACGAAAUAAUUGGCAUUUUUACCACUGAAUUCAUUGCCUUUUUGCUAUAGUGCCCUCAGUACCUAUGAUUUGUAGGUCCACCUCUGUCUAUGAUUUGUAGGCCUGACAACAAAUUAUCAAAGCCCAUUGUUAAUAAUGGCAAAUUAGGAGUUGAGACAACAAAGGCUUGAAGCUACAGCUGGGGCAAAGGGCCUGUGCACUCUGGCUGCCUCUCCAGCUACUCCCUAGGGUGGUUCGCUAGUUUUUUGUAUGAUGAAUGUUUUCUUGUAUGCCUACUGAUGUAUGGUCUACUUUAGACCUUUUUCUCUAUCUUUUUAAUAUAUAAAGGGACACAAUUCUCCUACGAGUUUUCGAGAAAAAAAUAAUGGCAAAUUAGCAAGUCGUCCCUAGGAGACAACAUAGGAGGGGCGGUGUGACAACCAACAAACCCUGAUUAAGUGGUGGCUUAGAUGGGAGGACAUACCAAGCUGAGGAAACAACGAUCUACCAUGGCAGAACUGGUACUAACCAUGGCUUAGCCGCUCCUGGGAUACUGCCUCCAGGCCUCGUUGCUAAUUGCCAUACCACUCAACAUAGGUGUCAGCUGCUAGAGACAGCCCCAACCUGGCCUGUGUGGAGGCACAUCAACUCGGCGACUUUAUGUUUCUCCCCCAUAGUAGAUCCUACGGAGCAUACAAAAAAAGGCAGUAAGGAGAUGCAUGGUACACGCUUAUUUGCAUAUGGUUCUUCAUCAACGUCGAUAACUUCGGCAACCUUACGUUUCUUCCCCAUAGAUCCUACAGAGGAGAGGCACGGAUCCUACAGAGCAUACAUUUCUGACUUUUUUUGGUAUGCUUCAUAGGAUCUACUAUCGGGAAGAAACUUAAGGCCGCCAAAGUUAUCGACGUUCCUUUUUGCUAUCAUAUUUGCGUUUAACUGAUUUUUUUGGUUCCUAGGGUGCUCCAUGAUUCGAAUCCCACCGGCAGAACUUUUUUUAAAAGGGGAAAAACUCUGGCCUCUGCAUUCCCACCAACAGAAAGUGUUGGCCUGGCCAUUGACACACGCCAUCCGGGCGUGAGACUCGCCACUACCAUCAUCAUUUAGAAGCAUCAUCUCCACACCUAGUGUCCUCAAUCCGAGGUACCUCCUCCCAGAGUCUCCAAAGGCAGGUGCAUCUACCUCUGCCUCUGCUUCUGACUCCUGGCAUUGGAGCAAAAGAAAUGGUUCACUAUCAGGCUGGUAGCCACAUAACAACAUUUAUUUAACAAUAUUGGUAAUUUCUCCCAUGGGCAUUAAUUCUAUCACAUCAAUAGCAGCUUGUAGUUCAGCCACCAUUUUGUUCAACUGCUUGAUACUUCCUGUUGCUUCAGUUCAAAUCCUAGGUUUUGACCUAAAUUGCAACGAGGUGCUAUAAAUUAAGAAAAAAUAAAAAAAUCUAGAAUCUUCACAUUCUCUCUAUGUUUAUGUAAGAGAUCAUCUGUACAAAAUUUGAGUUAAUUUGGAGGAGGUCAAAAAAAUCACUUGCUUACAAAAAUUGGUUAAGUGAAAUACCAAAUGUUUUGUCCCUAAACAAGUGAUAUUUUCGACCAUCUCCAAUUUAACUCCAAUUUUGUACACAUGAUCUCAAAUUUUGUACUCAAAUUUUGUACACAUGAUCCUAGCUACCUAGAAGAAAUUCCACCAAUGCGGCGCAUGCGUGAGGGCGUCUAGGUCAGAGGCAAGGUAGUGGAGGAGUUCCGAAAUUCCUGGAUCAUCUCCACUGUGCACUGAAGGCCCUGAACCUCCCUGUUGGUGUGUCCAAGAACGUCCACCUCGAGGUUGCCCUUGCCGCAUAGCGCCUAGAUAGCCCCAACGAGAUUGAGAGCUCGGUCGAUCGAGCGACCAAGAAUGAUGGCGGCUUUAGAGUUGGUCCAUGUGAGUAGGCGUAUGGAGCUUGAGAGAAAGCGUUGUGCUGGUGACGUUGGGAAUCAUGCCACCUUGUGCGAUGGUGACGCCAGCGAGAAGCUUGUCGAGCUCUGGGUCAUUCCGGACGAUGAGCAACAGGUGACGAGGGACGAUGCGACUCUUGUUGUCCUCGACACAUAAUUUUAAAUGAAAUGACCACAAAUUUACACGUCAAUGUUUUCCCCAACAAUUUGCAUAUUGUUGCGCGAAACAAAAUGCAUGUUGGUACCAACUCUCCCAAGGUUUCAUCGAGCCGGACGUUGUCGCGGUAGCAACGACAGAUGCCGAGACGAACACGUGACACCAGGGCCACACCAGUUUAGGGUAUGCGAAGUCGAGGCGAACGUUGUCUCGGUAGUGACGAUGGACACCGAGACGAGCACGUGACACCAUAUGAAGGGCAUCACCUGGUUCUACUAGCCAUUUUCAGUUUAGAUUGUUCCCAACUUUCAUUGCAUCGCCUGCUUCUAUCACCGGCGCUUGCCGUCGGAGAUUACCCAAGGAGUGUGGUAAUUUCUUUCCCGAGCGGUGAGCGCCGACUUCAUCAGUGAGGUUCUGGAUGGCUCGCCCCAAUCCACAGCGCCAGGCCACGGCCCCGACGACGAGAGGAAGAACUCGCGCUUCCAGUCCUUGAGAGAAACGGGUUCCGGGUUCGGCAUCCCCGUGAAGCGCAGGCCAGAGUCGUACCUGGGCCAGAAACAGUACCAGCUUUUUCUAUACCUGUGGGUGACGAUGGUCAGCAGGAAGAAAUGCUAGAACACCGAGAGUGACGGCGACACACCGAUAGAGUGGCAGAGCACGAGGAAGCACGCCAUGAAGCGGCCUCGCGCCUCACGGAAGAAAGGGUGCAACGGCACGCGCAUCCCGACCUCCAACGUGUGUGUGUACACGCAGAUAGCCUCGAUGAUAAGUGCCAACCAGUCUCGGUAGGUUGUUCUUCCUCUAGGUUUCUCCAUUCCAAAGGAGGGUACAAUGUUACAUUUUGACCAACUCGGUACACACAUACUAUUGGCGAAAUUAACUGAAAUCAAAGCAACAUAACAACCACAUAAAGUAGAGGAAUAUUAAUACUUUGUUACUCCAUAUUUGGUUAAUGUUUUGUCAUACUUAUAGAAAGGACACCACACUCAUUUCAUCAAGCUUAACCACUGUCAGGCAUAACCAAGUAGUAGCCCCAAAAUAUAAGUUUUGUCUAUCACUCUUACAUGAGACGAUGAGAGCACUUGAUACUAAAGCCAACUGGUUAGACAUGCUUUCGCGAGCACAUUGCAGAGACGAUUGCAAAAUGGUCAUAAGUUCCAUGGAGAUCUCCAGAUAUUCCAUGGUGAUAUCAUGUCAAUCAUAGUUAUUAAGGCGUUAAGAGCAUCUCCAAUAGUUAUGUAAAUUUAGCACCCUAAAUUAUAAAUUUAAGAAGUUGCUAAAACAUUUUAAGGAGUAGAAAAAUGUAUGUGCUCUAACAGUUCCCUAUUUAUUGGUUGCUAAUUUUUAAAGUAGUCUACGUCAACAAAAAAUAAGUGAGCAUGCUUUCUAUUUUUAAUUGAGCUGUCGGCAGAAAUCAAUAUCACAAGUUUUCCUGACAUCUUGAGAGGUCGAAGUUAUUGAUGAAAGACCUUCACGGCGAUGGCGUGAAGACAUCACAUGAUGUGGUCUGACGAUGCCUCGACAUAAGAGGUUGUCUAGCAGUGGCGGCAUCAAGACAUCUGGGCGCUGGAGAUGAAUUUGUGGUUAACAGGACAAUGGGACAGCGUAAAACAAUGGCAAAAGUACGAUUUUCACGAUUGAUUUAGUACCAACGUAGAUUUAGAGUCACAACAAGGUUGAUAAAUGUAGGGAUAAAAUUGGGUUUUGUAGGAAGUUUGUAAAUUUAGGGAACUAAUUUACAUAACUGUUGGAGAAGAGUUUUUCUUGAAAACUUGUUAAAUUCGUAUUUAGUAACUUGUUUACGUAACUAUUGGAGAUGCUCUAAGGCAACAUAAGGCGACCGACCCCCUUUUUAUCUUUUAGGCGGUAAAGCGUAAGGCGAGGCGACGCCUUAAUAAUAUAUAUAAAUAUAUAAAUUAUACCACACACACACACACAAAUAUAUAUAUAUAUAUAUAUAUAUUACUAAUUUAAAGUUAAUGAGCAAGUUAACAUAUUAGGUCCAUUUCAGUCUAGUUAGAAGAGGGAAACAGGAAAAAAGCCCAUCAGCCGAACACAGCCCAACAUCCUAACCCUAAAACAGCCCCAGCUGCUCUCUCUCCCUCCCCCACGCCGCCUCUCUCACUCCAUCCCCACGCCGCCGCUCUCCUCUCUCUCCAUCCCCACGCCGCCAGCUUCUCCCUCUCCCCCGGCGCUGCUGCUCUCCUCUCUCCCUCUCUCCUGCGGGCCGCCGCCGCGAGCGCCCUGCACGCCGCCGCCGUGCCUCGCCUUGCUCUCGGCCAAGGCGAGAGGACGCCUUACGGGUCCAAGCACGCCUUACUGCUUAGGCGUCGCUAAAGCGUCGCCUUAAUAACCAUGAUGUCAUUUUUUUCCAAUAUGCUCCAUGUCGAACUGCAAUUCAAGUAAAUACAAAUUUAGUUUCUCAUGAUAAAUAAUAUAGCAACCGACAUAACAGAUGAUUAAAGUACAUCUUUGAGUGUGUUCAUGUCUUUCCCAUCAUAACUCCCCAGCAUCUCCAGCACAUAAAAAUCAGAAGCGACCUCCAUAACUCUGGAAGUGAACUAGUUAGUUGUUAAUAAACAAAAAUAGGAUUUAUCAAUAGGCAAAGGAGAAAGUUAACUGAACUCACUUAAUUUUUUCCGAUUUGAAUAUGUGAGGGGGAUAUUUUACUGAAAACUCCUUGCUGUUUUCAACUUCUCGUAGCUGUAGUGCUCCACAAAGGUUUCUAGCCUGAACAAAAUGCAUCAUGGGCCCAAUGUUGGAGCAUGCAAGAAAAAGCUAACUGCAGCAAAUGAAAGAUGUAAGGCACAUACCACAGUUUCCACAACCGCUUCAAGUUUCUUGUCUUCAGAUUUACACAUUGGGUCAUAAAUUUCUGCUUGCCAAUUAACCAAGUUAUGUGCAACCAGAAUCCAACGAUCCUCCUUGUGUAGUGGGACAUGUAUCUACAAAAGAACAUUUUGCUAAUCAAGUUAGUCCAUGAAGUAUGUUACAUUUUCUUCGUAGUAAAAUAGCUUCACCAGUAUUUACCAUUGUUGUUCACUUGUUCUCAAAUGCUAUAAAUCAAGAACAAGACAACACAAUUGUUAAUGGUUAAAGACUUCGUCCUUCAAAGCAUUAUUUCCUCUCGGAUAUAAUGAUCUUCAGACGAAGGUCAUGAAGGUCACACCUUCAUCAUUUUAUCAUGCAAACAUGAAUAUAAACAAGAAAGUAAAGGAAUACAGAAGAAUACAAAGGAAUAAAGGUAAUAAUUGCUAUAUAUCAAUAAUCCAUUUAUCAUUAUCUUCAUCAAAUAUGAAUAAGUAUUAACAAUGUUCAUAUUACAAUGAUACCUUCGGCUUGCCAAAAGGUGGGAGAACGGGAAUGACGCGAGAGCGAUUACAAUCCAGCGUGAACAGUACGGUGUUACUGUUCAUCUAUUUAUAGGCACGGGACGCAGCCCGGAUAAAAGUACAUUUAUAUCCCUGGUAACUGCCUAUAAAUCCUAACAUGAAUUAUUGAGGACUAUAAGCUCUUUAGCCCCUUUCAGUCAUCAUCACGCUUUGAGCUUCGUCAACAUGUUAGGCCGAAGGUCCUUGGCUUUUAGCUUCGUCGCCCACUCUUUGUCUCUCGUCAUAAAAGUUCUUCAUCCCAAAGCCGAAGCUUCCUGUAAUUAUUCAUAAUCAUGCUGAAAACAUAUGGUUAGACACAUUUUUGAGGACCUUCGGAAGAGUAAGGACCCAACAACCGUAUUGAGCUUUCCUACAUGUUCUGGGAAAGAAUUUGCAACUGUUCUGAGGUUGCAGUCCGUAGUUCGAAGUUGCUCCUGUUUUGGGGUUAAAGAAGCUUAGACAAUUUUCUUAAGGCAUAUAAUCUGUUGGGAUUAUAAAAAGAAAUGUGUGUACCACGAUUUCCUGAGUCAUGAUGAACUUUGUAAGUUUACCUCACAGGAUCAUCAUAGCCUCAACGAAAAGAUCCAUAAACUCCUUACAAAUUUUUCCUUGAGAUAAUGCAGUGACAAAUUGCAGUUCCGUCAUAGAAUAACGUCCAAGUGUAAGUUUUAUUGAAUUGCUUGGAUUUGCCUUCUUCAGAUGCAUGGUUCCAUAAGGGUCACCUUUUUGGGUGCAAGGGUAAGUACAACUACGUUGUAGUGCUUUCACUUGGUGUCGUGGGGUCCCAAGCGGGAUCACUUGCUUCCACGUGGGGUAGUGUCACUGCCGCCGCUAAAGGCAGCAUGAGCCUCAUAGGAGAGGCCCUCGAAGUCUUACCUUUCCUUUUCUCCUGGGUGGCUGGGUGGUAGUGUUAGACAGCUGAUUCCCUACCAUAUACAGGACCGCUCUAUAGCCGGUUGACCAUAGUAGGCAACAUAGAGUAUUAUGGUUAGUGACAUCCUGAUUGAGGGCUUGGUAUAGGAUCAUGAUUAGGAGUUUCCUUAGUAUAUGAACCUGAUUGGGGGUUUCCAUCUUUGAGGAGAUCUUGUCUAUGGGUUUUCUUUAGCCCAAGAUCUCCUCACUUCUAUAUAUUGUAACCUUUGUGUCUCUCAUUAAUCAAUCUACUAUUGCACACAAAUUCAAUCUCUUUCAGGUAGCCUAGGGGAGUGGUUCAUGCUAAAUCAAGGCAUUCUCCCAACAUUCGAGGAGGCAUCGACUAUGAUGUCUUUGGGGCACGACGUCGGUAGUGCCCGCCCGCUUGAGGUAGCGGAGGGUAGGACUGAACCGGAUUGAGGCGUCGUUUGUGUUAUGGCUCAAGGUCGGAAUUGCCGGAACUGGUGUUGGAGGCCACCGCUUCAUUGAGUGGAUGUGCUGGUGAAGCACUGAAGCCAUGUUGGAACAACAUGAAAGCACAUCAAUGUGCACCAAAGCUCCCACCUGUCUCGUCGAAUGUUGUCGAUACGACAUCAAGGUACCAAUGGUACUAGAGAAAUUUGUAGAUUUAAAGAUUGAGUGAGGGGCAUAGGCUGGAGGCCUGCUGGAUCAGGGCACUGUCACAGCAACAAGCACACAAACGAUUUAUAGAGGUUUGAGCCGCGUGUGCGUAAUACCCUAUGUCCUCAUUGUUGUGGAUGAAUUGAUGGAAGCAAAGACGAAAUUACAUGCUCAUACACUAUCUGAACUAGAGGACCGACUAGCCUGCCCCCUACUUUGGUUCUGGUGAGAGUUCUAUUCUAAUUACCAAAAGUGCAAAAGUCUAAGAAGGUUUGGACUAAGCCAGACCCUAGACUGACUUUUUUCCCUCUAAGUUAGACCUAGAAUGAGGGCAUGGCCUAGAUGCUCUAAUCGAUCCCCUAUCCCUAGACCUGCUUCUACAUUGCUCUAGUCCUCCCUUUUAUAGCACAAGGAGGACAUAAUUACAUCUCUGCGUGGACGGUAAGCCCUGCCCAAUAGAGGUUCAACUGCUCAUAUCUUGUCAUAGUUACUGUCAAGGACCUCCCUGUCACACCCGGAUUUUAGGGGUCCAAAACCCGGGUGCGAACAUAAUCACCAGGUGUGCUGGGACCAAGUCUCACACAUAUGAUGAAUCAUGGCACAUGAUCGAAUGUCACAUCUUUACUACAUAACAGGAGUUUUAUACAAAAUAAAUAAUUACAUUAUAAGGAGACGACGGUCCAACAACCCAAAGUUGACUGGGAGACGACGACCUAGACCUCUCACGAACUCGCCACAGCAUCCUCCAUGCGCCUCAUCCUGUGGUACCUGUUCUUGACCUGUGGGGGGGUGUGAGACAGCAAGAGUGAGCUCACAUACGUUCAUCGCUCAACAAGUUGUGGGGAAUAAUGUGCAUGAACUCGCCAAAGGUGGGAGCUCACGUGAAGUGUAAGGCUUACCAAAGAGGAUGGUUAGAGCUGAACAUUGCUUUUAAAGUUGGUCAAAAUUUUAUUAGCAAUUACUAAGUAUAAGUAAAUACCAACCCAAUUAAAUAGUAGAACAGAAGUAACAACAUCACCUGCGAUGCAAUGCAUAUGACAAAUUGAAUUUAAGUUCCAUAAAUUAAUCAUGUGAGUGUCCGAGCUGCUCUUGACCGUGAGCACGGCUAGUAUACCAGUUUUACACUCUGCAGAGGUUGCACAUCUUUACCCACAAGUCAUGUUACCCAUCUGCCAAGGGAUCGCGACUUCCCAUACACCUCUACCGAGGAGGCGAGGCAGGGUAACACUACGAGGCCUUUACAAAGUUCCACUAGCUUCAGAAAACCCGCUACAGUUUAUAGGAAGCUCCAAUGCAGGAAUCCCUUGCAGGAGCGCCAUCGCAGCAAAAUCCUCCCGAGGGCCUCCCUACACUGACCACUCCCCUACUGCCCUUGCCCCUUUCGGGUAAGGUAGUCCUCCACUAGCUUUCCUAAUUAGUCAGCCAAGGGCGUCCAUAAACCCUUGUGGUAGCACUGUUUUCCCGGGUGGUUCUCCAUGUUCCAAUUAACAUAAUGAUCUUAUCAUGAACAGUAAAUAACAACGGAUAACAAAAGUAUAAUCAUGAAUAAUGUAUCUUCAUACCCGAAACCACAUAAAGCACUAGCAAGUACUACCCAAAAAGUUCAGUGUAAACAAGGUAUAAAGAUAAUCAAACUAGGGUAACCUAUUGGGUCCCAUCAAAAUUAACCUAUGCAGAUCAUUAUGAUUAAUCAGAACAUGAGUAGGUAAAAAGAAGUGAUCAAGGGCACAACUUGCCUGGGACUUGAGAUUCCAGUACCAACUUGCUUUUCAGAUGACACAAGUCCUCGCGCUAGUCGUAGCAAUACAAACAAACAUGGUAUAGAUAAAAUUAACAUCACACCAAACAUAAGAACAAACUGAAUAAUAAUAAUCUACACGUUGCUACGAGACUAACGCAACUUGAACGAGUCAAAUCGGAGUUAAAACGGAGGAGUUAUGAAUUUCCUAGGGUUUUAUGUGCUUGAAAGGAGAUUAAAUGGGAAAUUGAUUUUCUAACUGUUUUCAUGAUAAAACAGAGACUCUAAGUAAUAGACAAUAACAUUACAAAAUUUUAGAAAUUGGAAUGGAGUAAUUUGGACUUAGUAUGAAUUUUCUAGGGAUUAAACAUGUUUUAAUAAUUAAGUUCACAUUAAAAUCAUUUCUGAAAUUAAUUCAUCUGCCUCUGGUUUGCGCGCAUGAAAUAUAGAAAGUGCAGGGUCUAACCCGCAAAGGUUCCUAAGACUCAGGCCGCAACCUAGGUGGACGGCGGGUUCAAUUUUAAACUAACCGAGGGGCCCUUCUGCAAUUCUACAAAGCCGAAGCGGUAUCGUCAAAUCUCGGUCUUGCGAUCGCAAAUGGACGGUCCCGAUUAGAUCUCCCAGUGCAAGGAAUUGGUGCGCAACCAGAGCCGUCAAACCAGUGAUCGAAGGUCCGGAUUUAAUAAUGCCCCUAUUCGAUUUUCACCCGCCCGAUUCAAGAUCGACGGCCCCGAUCGGACCUGACCGAACCGGUACCCCCGGCUAAUCGCGACCGUUGGUUAAAAGAUCAACGCCGCAUGUUCUUUUCUUCUCCACCUACCCCAGGCAGCGGCGCCGCCGCCAUGGCUACACGGCGGAGGCACGGCCGAGAUCCAAUUGGCCAUCCCCGAUCACCAAACCCAAAUUGGACCGAGCUAAACGUAGAGGAGGACGAGGCGAGUCGAUUGGAUGGGUUUCUUACCGACGGAAUGAGGCACAGGAGCGUGGCCACGGCGAUGGGCGGAACAGGGACCAGGCGCGAGCUCCGACGAGGAAUUGAGAGCGGCGCGACCGAAGUUUGUGCCCCCCCGAGUGGUCACACACCUGCGGCAUGAGUAGAGCAACACCUCGGCACCACCCGAAAGCCUGAUUAUGGAGUAACGACCAACGACCGUGGUGGCGGUGAUGAAGGUUUCUCUCCCCUCUCCCGGCGUCGAUGAUAAACUGGCAGAGGAGUAGUUGGGUCGCGAGGGUAGGCGGAUACGGAAGGAGAGGCGAGCCUGGUGAGCUUUAUACCCGGAACGUGCCCACGGUCGCAGGGAGAAGCCGAGCAACCCCCAUCGCCGAGCUCUGCGGAGUCCGCGCGGGGUCUGUUCCUUCAACCACCAGCGCAAGAAGCGGAGAGGAGAUAGGGAGGGGAUAGAGCUAGCACGGGUCCGCCGUCACCCAUGAGCGCGAGGCAGCGGAGGCGGGCCCUGGGUUUUCCUCCGCGGUUUGCGGCAACAGCACCACUGGCGCGCGCGAUUUCCGCGGCUCAGGUUGCGAGUAGCGAGUCCGAGCGCGAGUUAGGAGAUGACCCAAAGAAGCCGGUCGCGGGACCCACGCGACAGCCAAAGGGGGGGUUUAGCGCGCGCUGAGGUGGGCUGCCCGCGGAGAAGGAGUGGGCCGCUGGUGGACAUUUCGGCCCAGGUGAGGUCUUCCCCUUCUUUUUUUUUAUUUUCUAAUUUCAUUUCAAUUUACAAAUCCAAACUAAAUCAAAUUUGGUUUUAAGACUCCAAUACAAACUACAUGUACAUCACAAAAUUUUCAGCCUGAAUGCAAAUAUAUAUAUAUAUAUAUUAUAUUUGUCUUAUUUAAUUCUUUUAUACAUGAUUCCCAAUCAUAUAAUAGAGAAUAGGUAUUUGAAAAAUGUCAUUUGUAGUUUGUACUUUUCUUUAGUGAAUAAGUAUAAAUAUAUUUUAAUAAAGUAACAAAUUUAUAUGGAGAUUAUUUUAAAUCUUUAUUGGAAACAUAAUUAUGUUAUGUGGUGUUGUCCCACAUGUAAGAAAAGAGAAAAAAAAAUUAUUGGAGGAUUUUCUAGCACCAGAAAUCUUUAGAGGAUUUAUUUACUAUUAUCUUAUUUAUUAGUUUAUUUAUUUUCAAAAAAAAAUUUCAAGAUGAGAUUUUAGGUGCUACAAAUCCUACCCCCCUUAACAGAAAUCUCGUCCUCGAGAUUUGUAAGAAAAGGGAUGUAUACUCAUAUUGUUCUCGGAACAUGUGCACAGACAAAGAAAUCUCGGCAUGAUGCAUAAUUCUUUAACAAAACAUAGGGUCAAUAGACCUUAUUAUUAUCACUAAAAUAGUAAAAUACUAACUAAUAGCUAAACUAAUAUUUAGGUCUUACAAAUAGUAAAAUAUAUAUGUAUCUAUAUUUAUGUUUAUCUCUAUUCUUGUUGUUCGUUGACUUCUUCACCGACUACUUCAUCUUCAACUAGCUCUUCUUCUUGAAUUUCAUGUUCACUUGGUUCAGCUUCUACUUCUGCAUGAUGGGCAUGUCCCCGGUUGAUAGAUAGGGGCUGACUCUUUCCUGCCGAGGCUUGUCCUUGCUUCAUCGGAGCCGGUGUAGUGUAGGCAGCUCUGUUGGGACAGUAGUUGGCGUAGUGUCCCGGUUGUCCACACUUGAAGCAUGCCCUGUUGGUGGUUGUGUUAGGAGCAACGGGUCCUGCUGGGGUGCUUGCUUUCGGAGGAGCAGUUGGUGUCUGUUGAGUUUGUUGUCCGGUACUUCCACUAGCUGGUGUACUUGGAGUGGUAGUAUAGCGAGGACGGGAACUACUUCCAGCCUGCCCUUGGUUAGCAACCUUUCUUUUCUCUCCAAAUAUACUCCUCUUGUUUUCUACAGCAAUAGCUUUGUCAAGUAGCCUUUGGAAGGAUGGGAAUGUGUGCGAUACCAGUUGAUAUUGCAAGGGUCCAAUCAAACCGUCCAGAAAAAGCUCCUGCUUUUGCUCAUCAUCCUCAACAUCUCUAGGAGCAUAUCGAGAUAACUGGAUGAAUUUGUCCCUAUAUUCACUCACGGACAUACUUCCUUGCUUGAGGGAGAGAAACUCCUUUCUCUUAAUCUUCAUGAGUCCAGCAGGAAUAUGGUAAUUCCUGAAUUGUGUGGAGAAUUCUGCCCAGGUAAUUGUAUCGACAGCAGCAUGAGCAGCGCAGUACGCAUCCCACCAAUCUGCAGCAGGACCAGCGAGACGACCUGAUGCGUAGAGUACUUUCUCUCGGUCCGAGCACUGAGCUAUGUUGAGCAUCUUCUCUAUAGACUUUAGCCAGUCAUCAGCUUGUAGUGGAUCCGUGGAGUUGGAGAAGGUUGGUGGUUUGUGGCUCAUGAAUUCCCGAUGCUUAUCUCGGGGUGGAACUGGUGGUGGAGGUGGAGGCAAUGGCACCUGUUGCUGUUGCUGCUGUUGUUGAAGUUGUUGUUGCAGCUGCUGUUGUUGCACCCUUCUCUCCUGGCGUAUCUCUUCCCGCUCUUGGUGCAUCUCCCGACGUGCAUCCUCUCUUUCCUGGCGCAUUUCCUGGCGUUCUUGCUGCAUUUGGGCGCGCAUAUCUGCCAUAGUGUCAGCCAUUUGCUGCAUCAUCCUCAUUUGAGCUGCAAUCAGUGGGUCAACUCCGCCUGGUGGAGGAUUAGGAGGAUUCAUCUCUGCUGGCUGUGGCUGGGGUUGUCUAUAUAUCCGCCGAGUGUGUCGAUUAGGAGGUAAAUCAAUUCCACCACCCCUCCUGGUAUUGACCAUCUAAGUUAGAAGCAUAUCGUAAGAUAGUUUUGCAAGGGAAUCAUUUGGUAGGCAGAAUGAAUAGGCUGAUAGUUGGUUAUGUACUGAAGAUUCUUUGGUAGGGCUUGACCAGAUAUUUUAUGUCAAGACUAGGGUAACUAGUUGUAUGAGGUGAAUGUCCAAAGGUAAGAUAGAAUCUGAUAAGAUGAGAUAGAUACGGAAUACUAGAUAUUUUUUUUAGGGAAAUAAUCUAGUUUAUCUAGUUAUUUUUAUAAACAUUUUUUUUAUAUGUAUAUGCAGAUGUAAUUGUGGACAUUACUCCACAACUCAUCACACUCAAUCAAAGAUCCAAAUCAAACAAGUAUCAUUUUUCUCGAACACGCAGGAGAUCUGCGUAUCAUUCCAUUAAUAGAUAGAAGAAGGUACAACACACCACACCCGACACACACCUGACACGACACACACACACAUGACACAACAAGAUACAAGACGCAACACAGAAACCACACACAGCCACUCUGAACAAGCCACUAGUCUAUCCCCCUGGGUCAAGCAUAAACAUAAGAGUUGAAAGCAGGUUCAGCCCUUUUGCCCCGGCACUACACCACAUCCUGAGCUCAUCGCCAGCGAGGGUGAGAGCACUCGCCAGACUUGGCGAUCUCCCAUUAAACACGCAGUCGUUGCGAUGACGCCAUAGGCUCCAAGCGCCAAGAAUAACUAGAGAAUUGAAGCCGGAUUGGAGAUCACGGGGAAUCUUCUCCACAGCUCCGCUCCACCAAUCAUCAAGGCUGCAACUAGCAUUAUCUGGUGAAAGGUUAGGCAACCCAGACCUGCUUAACAAGGAAUACCAGAACUGUCGUGCAAAGACGCAAGAGAUGAGAAGAUGUUGUAUUGUUUCCUCUUCUUGGUCGCAAAGGGGGCACACACUGGGGUGGGGUAGCCCCCUUCUAGCAAGACGGUCUGCGGUCCAGCAUCUGUUGUGCAUGACAAGCCAAAGGAAGAAACUGCACUUAGAAGGUGCCCAAGAUUCCCAAAUGCGCUCAUAAGCUCUCAAAGAAGUGGAACCAAGAAAUAACAUAUCAUAAGCCGACUUUGAAGAGUAUUGGCCUGUCGGGGAGAAUUUCCAGAUAUGCUUGUCUGGCACUCCAACAUUAAUGGAGUAAUCUGCAAUGACUUCACUAAGAGUUAAAAAAUCCGAGAGGACAUCCCAAGUGAUGGUGCCUCUCAGGUCCCGAAUCCAAGCCAUCUCCACGAUACCCUCAGCCACCGUUCUCCUAUUGGUAAUCCUGGUCGGGACGAUGGCAAAAAUAUGAGGAGUUAGAUCCUCAAUCCUCAACCCCAUCAACCAUCUGUCCCUCCAAAAUAAGGUGUUACGACCAUCACCAAUUUCUGUAAUCAAAGCUGUAGAGAGGAUAGAUUUCAGAAUGCUGGAACUCUGGAGAGGUAAAUCAGCCCAAGACUUCGAGGGAUCCGUUUUUUCCAACCACAGCCAUCUAACCCGAAGGGCCCAAUUCAGCUUUUGUAAAUCUGAGAUGCCAAGCCCACCAAGCUCCUUUGGGCGUGUCACUUUGCCCCAAGCGACUAAGCAGUGGCCACCGAGUACAUCCUUACGUCCUUUCCAAAGAAAACCACGUCUAAUCUUGUCAAUGGCUUUGAUAGCCCACUUAGGUAAAUCCAAUGCCAUGGCGUGGUAAAUAACUGUUGCCGUGAGCACAUGUUGCACAAGUAUCAUAAGAACAAGCAUUUCAAGCAUAUAGCUACAAAAAAAAUAGUUUUGUUUUUUUUUUUCCUAAGAGUAGGUCUCCUAUUCCUAAAGGUCACUUUUAGGCACAGGACUUCAAAGUGUGAAAUCCACAUUUGUCUUUAGAAUGAAAAGGUAAGAAUAAUCAGAGUAAGCGGAAUUAGAUGAGAAAAGAUUAAGAAAAGUUUAGAAAGAAUCAGAGUAGCAAGGUAAGUAGAUAAUGGUUGUCCAGUUCUAUCUAGGUUUCGUCUUACAGUCAACAUUGCCUCUGAUACCACUUCUGUCACACCCGGAUUUUAGGGGUCCAAAACCCGGGUGCGAACAUAAUCACCAGGUGUGCUGGGACCAAGUCUCACACAUAUGAUGAAUCAUGGCACAUGAUCGAAUGUCACAUCUUUACUACAUAACAGGAGUUUUAUACAAAAUAAAUAAUUACAUUAUAAGGAGACGACGGUCCAGCAACCCAAAGUUGACUGGGAGACGACGACCUAGACCUCUCACGAACUCGCCACAGCAUCCUCCAUGCGCCUCAUCCUGUGGUACCUGUUCUUGACCUGUGGGGGGGUGUGAGACAGCAAGAGUGAGCUCACAUACGUUCAUCGCUCAACAAGUUGUGGGGAAUAAUGUGCAUGAACUCGCCAAAGGUGGGAGCUCACGUGAAGUGUAAGGCUUACCAAAGAGGAUGGUUAGAGCUGAACAUUGCUUUUAAAGUUGGUCAAAAUUUUAUUAGCAAUUACUAAGUAUAAGUAAAUACCAACCCAAUUAAAUAGUAGAACAGAAGUAACAACAUCACCUGCGAUGCAAUGCAUAUGACAAAUUGAAUUUAAGUUCCAUAAAUUAAUCAUGUGAGUGUCCGAGCUGCUCUUGACCGUGAGCACGGCUAGUAUACCAGUUUUACACUCUGCAGAGGUUGCACAUCUUUACCCACAAGUCAUGUUACCCAUCUGCCAAGGGAUCGCGACUUCCCAUACACCUCUACCGAGGAGGCGAGGCAGGGUAACACUACGAGGCCUUUACAAAGUUCCACUAGCUUCAGAAAACCCGCUACAGUUUAUAGGAAGCUCCAAUGCAGGAAUCCCUUGCAGGAGCGCCAUCGCAGCAAAAUCCUCCCGAGGGCCUCCCUACACUGACCACUCCCCUACUGCCCUUGCCCCUUUCGGGUAAGGUAGUCCUCCACUAGCUUUCCUAAUUAGUCAGCCAAGGGCGUCCAUAAACCCUUGUGGUAGCACUGUUUUCCCGGGUGGUUCUCCAUGUUCCAAUUAACAUAAUGAUCUUAUCAUGAACAGUAAAUAACAACGGAUAACAAAAGUAUAAUCAUGAAUAAUGUAUCUUCAUACCCGAAACCACAUAAAGCACUAGCAAGUACUACCCAAAAAGUUCAGUGGUAAACAAGGUAUAAAGAUAAUCAAACUAGGGUAACCUAUUGGGUCCCAUCAAAAUUAACCUAUGCAGAUCAUUAUGAUUAAUCAGAACAUGAGUAGGUAAAAAGAAGUGAUCAAGGGCACAACUUGCCUGGGACUUGAGAUUCCAGUACCAACUUGCUUUUCAGAUGACACAAGUCCUCGCGCUAGUCGUAGCAAUACAAACAAACAUGGUAUAGAUAAAAUUAACAUCACACCAAACAUAAGAACAAACUGAAUAAUAAUAAUCUACACGUUGCUACGAGACUAACGCAACUUGAACGAGUCAAAUCGGAGUUAAAACGGAGGAGUUAUGAAUUUCCUAGGGUUUUAUGUGCUUGAAAGGAGAUUAAAUGGGAAAUUGAUUUUCUAACUGUUUUCAUGAUAAAACAGAGACUCUAAGUAAUAGACAAUAACAUUACAAAAUUUUAGAAAUUGGAAUGAAGUAAUUUGGACUUAGUAUGAAUUUUCUAGGGAUUAAACAUGUUUUAAUAAUUAAGUUCACAUUAAAAUCAUUUCUGAAAUUAAUUCAUCUGCCUCUGGUUUGCGCGCAUGAAAUAUAGAAAGUGCAGGGUCUAACCCGCAAAGGUUCCUAAGACUCAGGCCGCAACCUAGGUGGACGGCGGGUUCAAUUUUAAACUAACCGAGGGGCCCUUCUGCAAUUCUACAAAGCCGAAGCGGUAUCGUCAAAUCUCGGUCUUGCGAUCGCAAAUGGACGGUCCCGAUUAGAUCUCCCAGUGCAAGGAAUUGGUGCGCAACCAGAGUCGUCAAACCAGUGAUCGAAGGUCCGGAUUUAAUAAUGCCCAUAUUCGAUUUUCACCCGCCCGAUUCAAGAUCGACGGCCCCGAUCGGACCUGACCGAACCGGUACCCCCGGCUAAUCGCGACCGUUGGUUAAAAGAUCAACGCCGCAUGUUCUUUUCUUCUCCACCUACCCCAGGCAGCGGCGCCGCCGCCAUGGCUACACGGCGGAGGCACGGCCGAGAUCCAAUUGGCCAUCCCCGAGCACCAAACCCAAAUUGGACCGAGCUAAACGUAGAGGAGGACGAGGCGAGUCGAUUGGAUGGGUUUCUUACCGACGGAAUGAGGCACAGGAGCGUGGCCACGGCGAUGGGCGGAACAGGGACCAGGCGCGAGCUCCGACGAGGAAUUGAGAGCGGCGCGACCGGAGUUUGUGCCCCCCGAGUGGUCACACACCUGCGGAAUGAGUAGAGCAACACCCCGGCACCACCCGAAAGCCUGAUUAUGGAGUAACGACCAACGACCGUGGUGGCGGUGAUGAAGGUUUCUCUCCCCUCUCCCGGCGUCGAUGAUAAACUGGCAGAGGAGUAGUUGGGUCGCGAGGGUAGGCGGAUACGGAAGGAGAGGCGAGCCUGGUGAGCUUUAUACCCGGAACGUGCCCACGGUCGCAGGGAGAAGCCGAGCAACCCCCAUCGCCGAGCUCUGCGGAGUCCGCGCGGGGUCUGUUCCUUCAACCACCAGCGCAAGAAGCGGAGAGGAGAUAGGGAGGGGAUAGAGCUAGCACGGGUCCGCCGUCACCCAUGAGCGCGAGGCAGCGGAGGCGGGCCCUGGGUUUUCCUCCGCGGUUUGCGGCAACAGCACCACUGGCGCGCGCGAUUUCCGCGGCUCAGGUUGCGAGUAGCGAGUCCGAGCGCGAGUUAGGAGAUGACCCAAGGAAGCCGGUCGCGGGACCCACGCGACAGCCAAAGGGGGGGGUUUAGCGCGCGCUGAGGUGGGCUGCCCGCGGAGGAGUGGGCCGCUGGUGGACAUUUCGGCCCAGGUGAGGUCUUCCCCUUCUUUUUUUUUAUUUUCUAAUUUCAUUUCAAUUUACAAAUCCAAACUAAAUCAAAUUUGGUUUUAAGACUCCAAUACAAACUACAUGUACAUCACAAAUUUUUCAGCCUGAAUGCAAAUAUAUAUAUAUAUAUAUUAUAUUUGUCUUAUUUAAUUCUUUUAUACAUGAUUCCCAAUCAUAUAAUAGAGAAUAGGUAUUUGAAAAAUGUCAUUUGUAGUUUGUACUUUUCUUUAGUGAAUAAGUAUAAAUAUAUUUUAAUAAAGUAACAAAUUUAUAUGGAGAUUAUUUUAAAUCUUUAUUGGAAACAUAAUUAUGUUAUGUGGUGUUGUCCCACAUGUAAGAAAAGAGAAAAAAAAAUUAUUGGAGGAUUUUCUAGCACCAGAAAUCUUUAGAGGAUUUAUUUACUAUUAUCUUAUUUAUUAGUUUAUUUAUUUUCAAAAAAAAAAUUCAAGAUGAGAUUUUAGGUGCUACACUCCCGACCUAGGGUAGCUGGCCCCUGACUACGGACAGCUUCAUCUUCCUCCUCCUCAAGGCCCUCCAGUAAGAACAGCCGCUUAUAGAUGCGAUUGUGGCCCCUUGUGAAUUUGUCGUCACAAUUGUAGCAGAGGCCAAGGCGGCGGCGCUCUUCUUGUUCUGCCUGCGAGAGGCGCUUGAUGGUGCGGCCUUCGACGGUAAUGGUCCCCGGCGCGGCCGGUUUGGCUCCUGGCGGCGCGGGUAGGGCCAGCCGGGCGGCAGGGGCCGACAGUAGAGGACGCCUAGGAGCGCGCACGGCUGGGGCGACGAAUUGCUCGCGCAACUCGAAUUGGCGCGCCAGACUCAUGGCGGCGACCAGCGUUUGAGGAUUCUGGAUCCUGAUGUCUAUGCUGAGUGGCGGCUGGAGUCCGCCGACGAAGAGCUGUACCCGCUGCGCCUCCUGGAGUGGUCCCGCGCGAGGAAGCAGGGCCUGGAACCGGUCCUGGUACUCGGCAACCGUACCGGUGCGCCUGCACUCCGCCAGUUCGGCCAACGGCGCGGAACGCAGGGGCGGCCCGUACCGAAGGUGCAGCAGCUCCGUGAAGCGGUGCCAGGAUGGCGUGCCCUCGUCCGCCUGGACCAUAAGGUACCACAUCUGUGCGCCCUCCUCAAGGUUGUAGGAGGCCAUCCAUACCUUCUCCUCCAUGAUGCGCUGCUGAUGGAAAUACGAUUCGCACCGACUGGUGAAAAUCAGUGGAUCAGAUUUCCCAUCAUAGCGGGGGAAAUCCAUCUUUUGAAAGUGCGGCGGUCGAUCAUUGUGGUGCUGCCCAUCAUUGGUCCCAUGGCCGCCCGACGAGGAGGUCUUUCCCUUCUGGAGCUUGGCGACAGAGGAUUGGAGGGCGGCGACCGUCGAUGUCAGGGUCUCUAUUAUCUUGGCCAAAUCAGAGGUGGUUGGCUCGGCCAUGGUAGAGGUGGUGUCGGCGUAAGGCGGCGAGGUUGGUGGGCUUGGCUGGGAUUGCGGCUGGGUGGAAGAAGAAGUCAAGGAACGACUGGAUCGCGAUACCAGGUUGUCAAGGACCUCCCGACCUAGGGUAGCUGGCCCCUGACUACGGAGUUCGUACCACGGUCCGUCGUCGCCGGUGAGGUUUUUCCCCUCAGCCGUCAGCUUGUUUAGAGAGAGAGAGAGAGAUUAGGAAAUAAUAAUCUUGCUUGCUUUAUUCCCUGCUGCCAUGUGGCUUAUAAAUAGCCCUAUGGCUAACCAACUUCUCCUAUAAACUCUCAACUAACUCCUAUUUUCUUGGACUUAUCUGCUGCCAACUAACUCUCCACAAUUCUCUCAUCUCAAUCUUAUUCUCUAGCCUUAUCUUUAUUUCUAAAUCUAUCCACUGGUUGUGGCCUCCUCCUGUGCGCGUUCAGCGCGCUCUGCAGCGCGCGCGUGCGUCACGGCGGCGCCUAUAUGUGCGCCCGCACAUGACAGUUACAUAGUGCACUCAAUCGUGCCGUAGUGUUGAACAUGUUGUGCUACAGUGGACGGUAUGCGUGCCCACACCGUUGAGUAUAAUGUAUUAGCUGGUACUUUAUAAUACCUUCGGGUAUGCCUGUCAUCGCAGGCAUGGCUAUAAUGAGAACUUCAACUGCACGUCGUGCAUAGUGGUGCUGGCUCGCCUGAUGCCCUUUGACUACAAUGUUGCCCAUCACAUUAAAUGUGAUGAACAUGAGACUUAUAUCCUUGCUAGGCGCCACAAGGCUGAUGUGGUCAGAGUCGCACAUGGAACCAGAGUCGUCCCACCCGUCGUUCUUGGGGUCAUCUUGCCUGGGACCGUCACGUAGCACCGGGUUCAUACUACCUAUGCCUUUCAUCACAUUAAAUGUGAUGAACAUGAGACUUAUAUCCUUGCUAGGCGCCACAAGGCUGAUGUGGUCAGAGUCGCACAUGGAACCAGAGUCGUCCCACCCGUCGUUCUUGGGGUCAUCUUGCCUGGGACCGUCACGUAGCACCGGGUCCAUACUACCUAUGCCUUUCUGCCUGAGGGUGUGGUCCAUAGUGUGUGGGUGCUGGUCCUACAUGGCCCCGGGACCUGCGCUUCAGGAGCUUGGCUCCCGAGUUGCAGGCCCUACUGAUGCCAAAUUUGCACCAGCUGGGCCCACUACGGGUCUCUCACUUAUGUGGAAUUUCUCGGAGGGCGUUUUGCCACUAUUCGGGGGUAAUCACUGUUAGGCAAUAGAAUAUGCCAUCUGUGGAUAUCCUAGCUGCUAUAGAUAGCAGAUGUAAAUCAGGGAUAGAAUCCUAGCUGCUAUAGAUAGUAGAUGUAAAUCAGGGAUUAGUUGCUAGAUAUAGCAGAUGUAAAUCAGGGGAAUUAUCCCUGCCUUGUAAAGCAGGCCAGCCAGCUCUAUAUAAUAGAAGGUGCCCCCCUCUCAUUGAGGUGUGGCCAAUUGCCCUCAACCCUGUUUCUCUACAUGGUAUCCGAGACCCAGGCAUCGAUCUAAUUUCCCAACCCCCCCCCCCUCACCUUCUCUCCUCCAGCCGCGCCGCCUUAACCAGACCGCGCCGCCUGCCCUCUCCUUCCCCUUCCCUGUGCCAUGAGCACCAUCUCCGAUGCUGCCGAUUCUGCUCCUGUCCUCUGCCCCUUUGCCACCAUCAACAUCAUGCUCCACGUCCCCAUGACCCUGGAGUUGAAACCUUCCAACUACACCAAGUGGUCGACGACGUUUCAGGCCACGUGUGGGAAAUUUGGGCUGCUGCAUCACCUCUCCACCUCGCGCCCCACCGAUGCGGCAUGGGCACAGGCUGACUUCUGCGUCCGCGGAUGGAUGUACAACACCACCUCCGACGCCGUCCUCAACCUCGCCAUGACCGACAGCACCCAGACGGCGAGCGCCCUUUGGAAGGCCAUCGGCGAGGUGUUCCAGGCAAACAAAGCUCCCCGCGCCAUCUUCCUGAAUCACGAGUUUCACUCGAUGACUCAGGGGGACCUGUCCAUUGACGCCUACUGCGUUCGCAUGAAGGAGAAGGCCGACGAACUACGCGACGUUGGGCAGCCCGUAUCUGAGCCCAACCUCGUCCUCAACCUGCUGCGUGGACUUAACGAGGUCUACUCCGGCGUCGCCGACAACAUCGCCGGACAGCAGCCCCUCACCCUCGCCACCGCACGCCAUCAGCUACUCCUCAAAGAGCUGCGGCUGCAGAACGACGAGAAGACGCGUGCUGCUGCUGCCCUCCUAGCUAAUGUUGGUGGUUCGCAGCAGCAGCACCAGCAGGGCGCCCGGCGCCCUAAUACCAAAAAAGGCGGCCACCAGCCCUUCUACAACACCUCUGGUAGCUUCUCCAACAACUCCGGCAACACCAGCACCAACAAACGUGUUCCCUGGGGCUUUAAUCCCUGGAUUGGCGAACGUGUGGCCCCUGGAGAGCGCGUCACCCCUCCUGGACAGCGCCGCCAGGAAGGUUCUGGUGCCCAGGCUGGGCGCACCCUGGGCAUUCUCGGGUCUUCCCCGCAGGCCCACACCGCCUUCGCUCCACUCCAGGCGUCCUCCAGCAGCUCCAACACCUCCACCAGCACCUGGGAUGCAGCAGGCCUCAUCGCUGCCCUGCAAAACAUGCAACUUCAGGGCAACUCGCCCUGGGUUGUUGACUCCGGCGCCUCUACGCACAUGACGUCCUCGGAUGGUAUGCUUACUCAGCGCCUUCCCCCCUCCAUCUCCUCAAUAACAGUAGGUAAUGGCACUAGUAUACCUGUUAUGUCUAGAGGUCAUUCCGUCCUUCCUACACCUACAACAAAUUUUGCUCUUAAUAAUAUCCUUGUCGCCCCAUCCAUAGUCCGCAACCUGUUAUCCGUUCGUCAAUUCACUCGCGACAACAAUUGUUCCUUUGAAUUUGACGCCCAUGGUUUCUCUAUUAAGGAUCUCAGGACGGAACGCGUGAUUCUCUGUUGUAACUGCGACGGGGACCUAUACACCAUGCCUGCCUCCACACCUGGCGCUCCACCUCAUGCUCUCCUGGCUACAUCGUCAACUCUCUGGCAUCAACGUCUCGGUCACCCCGCCCCCGCCGUUUUAGAGCGUCUCAAUAAACUUCAUGUUAUUUCCUGUAAUAAAGUACAACACUCCCUAUGUCACUCAUGUCAACUAGGCAAGCAUACGCGUCUACCUUUUAGUUCUUCGCAUUCCAUAACUCAUGCACCCUUUGAACUCGUUCACUGUGAUGUAUGGACUUCACCCAUCAAUAGUCUGUCUGGUUUUUCAUAUUACUUGGUCUGUUUGGAUGAUUACACUCACUACUGUUGGGUUUUUCCGCUCCGAAAAAAAUCUGAUGUCCACCAACACUUAGUCGAGCUUGCUGCCUCUGCCCAAACACAAUUCAGCCUCCCCGUCAAAUGCUUUCAGGCUGAUAACGGCACUGAAUUCGUAAACACUGCCACCAUCAAAUUCCUCGCUGCUCAAGGCACUCACCUUCGCCUCUCCUGCCCCUACACAUCUCCCCAAAAUGGCAAGGCUGAACGCAUCAUCCGCACACUCAACAAUUCCAUUCGCACCAUGCUUCUACAUGCCUCCCUACCACCCACAUAUUGGGCCGAGGGACUCCUGACAGCCUGCUACCUCCAUAAUAGGCGCCCAUCCUCCUCUAUUCAGCAUGAAAUUCCCUAUACUCGUCUGCAUAAUCAACCACCAACUUAUAGCCAUCUGCGUGUUUUUGGGUCUCUCUGUUACCCCAACAUGCAAGCAACCUCUAAACAUAAGCUCGCCCCUCGCUCCACGGCAUGCAUCUUCCUAGAAUAUCCUAGCUCACACAAAGGUUACCGCUGUCUCGACCUAUCAACCCGUCGCAUCAUCAUCUCUCGCCAUGUCACAUUCGACGAGACCACCUUUCCCUUUGCAGCCACCUCAGACGUCUCGUCCUCUGCUUCCCUAGAAUUCCUCCUCGACGACGAUAUGGUUUCGGUGCCCUGUCCUACUGUUGUUGCAGGUGGGACUCCAUCCUCGACGCACGUGGUUGCUCCAUCCCACUCGGAUGUUGAGCAACCGCCCCCAGACGUUGCAGCCUCACAUGACUCGCCUUCUGCGACACCGGGCGGGCGUGGUCCCGUGCCCCCGCCUGGACCCGACGUGGUUCCCUUCCCACGAGUCUACGUCCGUCGUUCCCGUACGACGUCUACGUCCGAGCCGGCAGCUGUCCCAGCAGCCCCUAUGACUUCAUCGCCUCCGCCGUCGCCGCGCGUCACUCGCACCAUGACGGGUGCCAUUCCUCGUGUCUGCUAUGAGGGGCUGGCGGCCACGACGUCACCCUCACCAUCGCCGCUCCCGACGAACUACCGCAGCGCGCUGGCCGACGCCAACUGGCGUGCCGCGAUGAUGGAUGAAUAUCAGGCCCUCGUCGACAACAACACCUGGGAGCUUGUUCCGCGCCCCCCGGAGCCAACGUCGUAACGGGGAAGUGGAUCUUCCGGCACAAGUUCCAUGCCGAUGGGUCCCUUGCUCGCCACAAGGCUCGCUGGGUUGUCCGUGGCUUCUCCCAGCGCGAGGGCGUUGACUACGACGAGACCUUCAGCCCGGUUGUCAAACCGGCUACCAUACGGUCUGUACUCAGCAUCGCUGCAUCCCGCGCCUGGCCCAUUCAUCAACUGGACGUGAAGAACGCCUUUCUUCACGGCCACCUCGAGGAGACCGUCUACUGCCAACAGCCGCCAGGAUUCGUCGACCCUGGCGCUCCAGAUCACGUCUGCCAUCUGCAGAAGUCCUUGUAUGGCCUGAAGCAGGCCCCGCGGGCAUGGUACCAGCGCUUCGCCACCUUCGUCCGGCACCUCGGCUUCGUCGCCUCCAUCUCCGAUACGUCUCUUUUCGUUCUACGAGAGGGGACAAGUCUCGCCUACCUACUGUUGUACGUCGACGACAUCAUCCUCACCGCCUCGUCGUCGGCCCUGCUACAACACAUUAUGACUCGGUUGAGCUCCGAGUUUUCCAUGACGGAUCUUGGCGCCCUCCACCACUUCCUCGGCAUCGCUGUCACGCGCUCCUCCGAUGGUCUCUUCCUCUCCCAGCGACAGUACGCGGUCGAGCUUCUUCAGCGCGCAGGCAUGGCUGAGUGUCAUCCGACAUCGACACCUGUUGACACUCACGCCAAGCUAUCCGCGACCGACGGGGAUCUACUGUCAGAGAAGGAUGCAUCAGAGUACAGGAGCUUAGCGGGGGCUCUCCAGUACCUGACGUUGACUCGUCCUGAUCUGGCAUAUGCUGUUCAGCAGGUGUGCCUCUUCAUGCACGCCCCGCGCGAGCCUCACCGUGCGCUGGUCAAGCGCAUCUUACGCUUCGUCCAGGGGACUCUCUCCUCGGGUCUUCACAUUGGCACCGGGUCUAUCACCAAGCUGACUGCCUACUCUGACGCCGACUGGGCAGGCCGCCCAGACUCUCGACGAUCCACCUCUGGCUUCUGUGUCUAUCUCGGCGACAAUCUAGUUUCAUGGUCCUCCAAGCGCCAGACCACGGUGUCCCGCUCUAGCGCCGAGGCCGAGUAUCGGGCUGUGGCUCACGUUGUGGCUGAGUGCUGCUGGCUUCGACAGUUACUCCAGGAGCUACACAUCCAGCUGCCUUCUGCCACAGUUGUCUUCUGCGACAAUGUCAGCGCCGUCUACAUGACGGCCAACCCCGUCCACCACAAGCGAACGAAGCACAUCGAGAUCGACAUUCACUUCGUCCGCGAAAAGGUGGCCCUUGGUGAAAUUCGGGUUCUCCAUGUGCCCUCCUCUCACCAGUUCGCCGACAUCAUGACUAAAGGGCUUCCGACAGCACUCUUUCGAGAAUUUCGAUCCAGUCUUUGCGUCCGGGAGCCUCCCGCUGCGACUGCGGGCGGGUGUUAGGCAAUAGAAUAUGCCAUCUGUGGAUAUCCUAGCUGCUAUAGAUAGCAGAUGUAAAUCAGGGAUAGAAUCCUAGCUGCUAUAGAUAGUAGAUGUAAAUCAGGGAUUAGUUGCUAGAUAUAGCAGAUGUAAAUCAGGGAUAAAUCAGGGGAAUUAUCCCUGCCUUGUAAAGCAGGCCAGCCAGCUCUAUAUAAUAGAAGGUGCCCCCCUCUCAUUGAGGUGUGGCCAAUUGCCCUCAACCCUGUUUCUCUACAAUCACUUUCUCCGGACGCUGAGAAUCCUUAUAAUUGAGAAUAUUGUCAUUUUUAGAUGAAUCAAAUGUUGCAGAAGAAGAUAUAUGGCCUGAUUGGUUGCCCGCAUAUAGUCGAACCAGGCUCACGGUAUGCAACUGCGAUGUGUUUGGUUGCACGGCCAGGAUCAUGCUACUUAUCGUUUGUUUGGUUUGCUACAUGUAUAGGUGAGCCUGAUUCUCGUGGUGGCAGAAAAGGCCUCAGGCUAGGAUCUAGAGAUGCGACCAAAAUCAAUGUAUCUUCAGAGCCAGGCCCAGGCUGUCGCGGUGUACAGCUGGGCUCUCGCUAGCCUGGUUAGCACGACCAGGUUGCCCAGGUGCGGGCAACCAAUCAGGUCCAUAGUAUAUGUGUACUCCCUUCGGUGUCAUAUUAUUUGUCCUUUUGGAUAAGGUUCGAGUUAAACUUAUAAAAUUCUAACUACAAAUAACUGUUUUAUUAUUUAGUUUUGAAACCUAAUAUUCAUAUGCACCGAUUUGUCUUUAAAAGUACUUUUAUAAAAUAUAAAUGUAUUAAGAGUUUAUUUGGAGAUCGUGUCGUUGUCCUAAACGACAAAUAAUAGGACACCGGACGGGGUAUGCUUUUAUCUUUGUUAGGAUAAUAAAAUAAUUCACAAAUUCAGUGACAUAGUUGCUUAGAUACCGGAGGUUCUUUAUAAACAAAAGAAACAUUGGUUUGUAAGCACAUUAAUUUACUGGUCAAUGACCAAAUCGAAUCACUGGACAUGAACUGGAGGACCAGUUAUGCAUUUUGCUGCAUAUUAGGGCAAGAUGUUAUGUAAUGUGAACAUUGGGCACUGAUACUAAUUAACAUUUUGAGUGCUUGUUGUUCAUAUAUCUUAUUAAAGUUCAAACCAGAGGGAAUUUCCCCCCAGAAAAUAUUCAUUCAGAAAAGUUGAACUGUUUAAACGCCUACGAGAAUUGUUCUUUGCUAGUUGUCUGUUACUGUUACAUUUAUCAAGUAUUUACAUGGCUGUGGAUAUUUCUCUGCAGCUGAUAUAGGGCAUUUACCCUUUUGUGACUAUGGCACUAGCGGCUAUCUAUAACCUUUUCAUCAUUAACAAAUCAGGCGGCCUUAUAUACUACAAGGUAUGUUUCUGGGAUCCCUUAUCUCUUCUUUAUUGAGAUCUUCUAGACCUCGAGCUGUAAACCAUGUCAUCUGCCUGCAUAUCUCUCCAGGACUAUGGUUCAGCAGGGAGGAUGGAUACCAAUGACAGUCUAAGAUUAGCAAGUCUGUGGCAUUCGAUGCAUGCUAUCUCCCAGCAACUCUCCCCUACCCCUGGCUGUACUGGCAUUGAUCUCUUACAAGCUCAUAACUUUGAUCUCCAUUGCUUUCAAUCCCUCACAGGUAUGUUAUCUGCUUAACAGUUCAGCUAAUGCAUAUUUGGGGUGUGUGGGUACACACACAGAAUUAGUUUAAGUGUUACAAGCUCUGACUUAAGUAUACUGUAGGUUCGUAAACUUGGAUAAUUUUUUUCUCAUUGAUAUUGCAUACAGCACCAAAGAAUGUGGUUUUUGUGCUGACCACUACAUGUGUGGGAAUACUUCCAUUAUCUGCUAUUACUUUGCCCGGUGCUAAGUAGCAGUGUUUUUAGCUCAGGAAUGGUAAGAUUUUUGUAGCAUGUGUGAUUUUUGUAGGCAGUGAGGGUUUGAAUGCUUAGGGCUAGUUUGGCAUCACCAUUUUUCCAAGGGACCAUUUUCCCAAGGAAAAUUAGUUCAUUUUCCCUUAAGAAAAUGGAAAUCUUUAGGAAAAAUAGAGUUGCCAAAUUAGCCCUUAUGAUAGAAAAUGGAGACUUUAAAACCUGUCACAGUUCAUUGCAAAACAAUUUUGUUGGAGCAUGGAUAAUUUGAUUCGAAUCAUUAUGCAGCUGAAAUAUAUCUUUGGGGGUAGAGUUAUAACUUAUGCGGUUAUCUUUUGGUUGUUUGAGAUUGUGGCCUAUAACCAUUGAAUAAUAAUAAGAGCAUCUCCAAUAGUUAUGUAAACAACUCCCUAAAUAUGAAUUUAAAAAGUUUUCGGAGAAAACUCUUCUCCAACAGUUAUGUAAAGCAGGUCCUUCAAUUUACAAACUCCCUACAAAAUCCAAUUUCAUCCUUACAUUUAUGAACCUCGUUGGGACUCCCUAAAUCAAUGUUGGUUCUAAAUCCAUCAUGAAAACCAUAUUUCGGCCACCGUUUUGUGUCGUCCUACCGUCCUAUUGACCACAAAUCUAUAUUUAGUGUCAUGUGUUGUCUUCAUGCCGUCGCCGCAACCUUCUGGUCUUUUAUCGACAACUUCGACCUUUUAAGACAUUAUGGAAGGUUGUUGAUGUGCUAGCUCAAUUUAAAAUAGAAACCAUGCUCACUUUUUUGUUGACAUGAACAAUUUUAAAAAUUAGCAACUAAUAAAUAGAGAACUGUUGGAGCACACACAUUUUUCUACUCCUUAAAGUGAUUUAGCAACUUCUUAAAUCUAUAAUUUAGGGUGCUAAAUUUACAUAACUAUUGGAGCUGCUCUAAGUCACCCAAACUGGUCUGUUUCACAUGUAUAUUCUGAUUGCCUCGCUUGCUUCAGGGACAAAAUUUUUCGUUGUAUGCGAAACUGGAGCUCCAAACAUGGAAAUGCUGCUGAAAGUGAUUUAUGAGCUGUACACGGACUUCGUUUUGAAGAAUCCGUUCUAUGAGAUGGAGAUGCCGAUCCGGUGUGAGCUGUUUGAUCACAACCUGGCUCAGAUGAUCCAGAAGGACCGUGUUGCGCUUCUGGGUCGGUGAAUCUUGAAAACUCAUGGUCUCAGCCCUUGAAAACCCUACUUUUCCGUUUUCGACGCUUGGACUUGCUCUGCUGGAACCCUAAAUUCUACCUUGCGGCACUGCUGUGCUGUGCAUAACCGAUAACUUGAAUAGUGUGUUGCUCGCUUGUAAUCUUCUUGCGGUGUGAUGAAAUGUAGAGCUUUGCGGGCAUAAAUGCCGCUGCAAAUAGUAACAACAUGGAAGCAGCUUUUGUUCUUGCAUGUUUUCCCUGCAAUGAGCUUGAGCAGCUAGAUGAGGGCUGGUUUGGUGGAAGUGGAAUUGAAGGGGAUCCAUAGAGAGGAAUUUCCUUGCUAUUUUUGAAUAGCAAGUGAAUUUCUCCCAUAGAUCCCUUCAAUUCCAUUUUACCAAAUUGGUUAUCAGUGAUUUUUCAAUGCCCUUUUACCAAAUUGGUUAUCAGUGAUUUGGUGUUCCUCGUUGUUGGGGAUCAUUGUUCGGGUGACAGAUGGUCAAUGUUCUGUCGACUGUUGUAGGACCACCGGUGCCAUGGCACCAGCCUUCGGGCCUGAUUGGUUCAGCUUUUUUCUGACCAGCUUUUCUGAAAAUCUGGUUGUGGGGAGAAUCUGAGUAUCAUUACGAUUACAUGUGGAGGAAGAUAAAGUUGUUUAUAGGGCUAAGGAUCUAGAAAGUGACAGAUUCCUACUAUUACAACGACUCAAUCGAUUAUGUGUUUAUGUUGAUUUUGGAUGGUUUUUGCCCCAACGAAUUUUAUAGAAGCUGGCUGAAAAGCUGAGCGUUUGGCAGUCCGCAGCAGCUUUUGGCUUUUGAAAGAUGGAACAGUCAGUACUGUUUGUAAUGAUCCAUCUCAAGCUACGGACAAAUUCAAUGCGAAUGAAAUCGUUGUUAUCGCAUUCAAAUGCUUCUGAGUUCUGACAAUCUGACCUAGUAAUAGCACUAAAACUUUGCAUACCCUAUUAUACAAUAUAGCUAGCGAUAUGUUUAGAACGUAUGAAUUUUAUACCCCUCCGUCUCAAAGUAUAAUUUAUAAUUUGUUUUAGGUAAAACAUAUAUUUAUUAAUUACGUACGAAUAUAGUUUAUACGUUUGUCUAUAUUUGUUAUCAUUAAUUUAAGGGAAAUUUGGAUCCAUACCAUUAAAAGAUCACCACUUUGGAUCUAUACCAUUACUAUCUCACUUACAUGUGGGUCCUAAUGAGUCAAUGACAUGUGGGGUCCAUGGUAUAUAUCUAAAGUUUGGAUCUUUUAAUGGUAUAGAUCCAAUUGUUCCUUAAUUUAAAUGUUGAAAAAUAGCUAACGAUAUGUUUAGAAUGUAGGAAUUUUACGGGAACCCUGUAUGAAUUUUAUAGCAGUUCAAUUUUAUCGAGCGAAAAAACACAGUAACGACAACAUUUUUCCCACCAGUUCCAAGUAGACGCAGUUGCAAUUUGGUUCUAUCUGGAGCAGAACCUCUAUCUAUUAUUUUAAACUUCUUUUCUACAAUUAUUAAACAAUAUUAUCUAUAAGUUCCGUGUCUCUUAGUUGAGUCGAGAGACUGUCUAACUCCGGUGCCAAAUGCCCAAAUCGACAAGCACACUUGGCCCAUGCUAGAGCUAGACGCAGCAGUCACAGUUAGGAAUGGCAAUGGGAACUACCCUACUACCCUGUCGGGUUUUAGCUCUUCGUUCUCGUUCCUGUGAUGAUUUUUUUAUACCGGAAUCUCCACAAACGCUUGUGGAGGAAUUUUUUCUCCAUCCCUGAUCCCUGUGAGAUAAAUCCUAUUGGGAUCUUGUCUUCGCUUAAAUUAUAAUUAAGACGCACUUCAUAUAUUAUUAAUAUAAAAACAUGUCACUUAUACUGUGUCAGAUGUAAGAAACAUUAUAUGUACAUUAAAAUAAAUAUAUUUGUAUAAUACGGGAUCUCUUAACAAUAUAAUUAUUUAUUUUUAUAAUUAAUUAUUAUAUGGAAAUAUCGUCACAUCUAACUUUAAUGAGUCCAUGAAAAACAGGGUAGAGAAUGUUUCUACGUCUCUGUUUCCGCUUAGUCAUCGAGAGAUAAUUUUUCUGUGUUUACAUUUUUUUCAAGAAACUUCCCUAUUCAUAUUCCUGUGGAGAACUUCCCGUCGGGGAGUCGGAGAUGGUCACCUCUAGUCACGUUCAAAGCGACACGCGCACCGGUCCUGGAGGCAGCAGUGAACCGGGCAGAGGAAGAGAGAGAGAGAAGUAGGGAACGCCCACCGCGGCGCCGCCGACGCCACACCCGGCCGAGCCGAAACCGAGACUGCAUCCUCCUUCGCGGCGCGCCGAGAUGAGCGGCAUGAGCCUCUCCCAUCGUCUCCCUCCCGCCGCGGCGGCGGUGGACCCCUACUACGUGUAUGCGGCGCACCCGGACCCACAGCGGCAGGGCGUGCUCACGCUCUUCGUCGCGGGGCUCCCCGACGACGUGAAGCCCCGCGAGAUCCACAACCUCUUCUCCCACCGCCCCGCCUUCGAUCACUGCCUCCUCGAGUACACCGGCCGUGGCAACCAGGUCCGUCUCCCUCCGCCUAUCCCCCGUGCUACUCCGCUAGACUAAACCCACCAUCUUUCUGUCUCUUCUGUGAGGCCGUCUAAGAUUUAAGUGUAGUUUAGAGCGCAACCCGGAUUGAUGUAGCGAUGGGAGAAGAUAGACUGCUGCAAAUACUGCCUCUGUAUGGAUAUGUACAUCGAUGCAAUGAUGUUGUUUACUGAAUUUUUUAUUCUUAUGCCACAGGCGGUUGCUUUUGUGACGUUCUUCACCCAUGAGGCGGCCCUGUCGGCAAUGAGUUCCCUAAAUGUGAGCCAAACGACCAUGCUGUAUACCUGUACUGUAGCUGCUCCAUAACUGUCAACAAUGAAGUUGGUUGUCUUCAACCUUGUUACUAGUGCUGUAGAGAUAGGGGACAAUAAUAACCUAAUUCUUUCUGCAUUUCUAUCUGCUCUAUACUCUACAACAUGACCCGGAUGGUGAUGUGGAUAAAUAACUGAAUUCUCUUGUAAAUCUAAGGAGUGCAGGCUUGGUGCAGUGUGAGAGCUGUCUCACCGAGUCACCGGCACUGGGUCUGCCCUUUUUCUCUUGUGAAUCUAGCCAAACCACCUUAUCUAAUUCUGUGCUCAUUGUUAUGCAUUAUGUGAACCAACACAUGAUCCACCUGAGUAGAAAUUUGAGUACUGAAGUUUACUAAGCUGAACAAUUAGCACGUUAGCAAUACCGAGGCAUCACUGGACGCUUUGUGGACUCUAGUUCAUGUCACUGACUCCUUAGAAUUAGAUAGACUUACUAUUCACCCUGCGAGAUGUAAAUAAUGAAACAUUGUACCAUGGUUUUUAAGGCGGUAAGGUGAGAUAAGGCGUUGGACCACCGCCUAGAUGUGUAGGUGAUGCCUUAUCAACCUGAGAAUCAGCAAAACAGCCCCAUGGAGGAGGAAGAAAAAGAAAAAAAGGAAAAGAAAAAAGGAGAAGGAAGGGGUAGGAGGCCUAGCCCACCAGUCUGCCCAUAUAAUCCUUCCUCUAGCAACCCUAGGUUGCCUUUCUCCCCCACCAUUCAGCUGCUGCUGCCCCCGAUUUCGCCGCCGCCACCUCAGAUUCGCCGCCGCCGACAAUUCGGAUGCUGCCGCCAACGAUUCAGAUGUCGCCGCCCCCGAUUCAGCCUCCGUCGCCCUGGAUUUGGCCUCCCUGCUCCCGAUUCGGCACUGCUGCCCCGAAACGGCGCCGCCCCUUCCCCUCUGCCCUAUGCCCUCUUGCUGAUUCUUACCUAGUCGACGGGGACACCUUGGAUCUUUUGGGCGCCUGGACGCCUAGGCGACGCCUUUAAAACAAUGCAUUGUACAGAUCACAGCUACAUGGUCAGAGGAACUUCAAAGCUACUGUUGUUAUCAUAUUCGCCACUUAAGCAUACUAUAAUGUAUUAUUCUGUCUUAGUAUUGUGCGGCUCUAGCACCUUCAAUUUAAUCGCUGCAUUGCUCAUUAUUUGAAUCCACAUCUUGUGUAACAUCUGUAAUCAGUUAGAUUGUCCAAAAUCAUACCCAUAUAUUUCUUGGCCACAUACUAGUAGUGUGGGAGUUGAUACAAAUUCUAUGAGAAAACAUCUGGCUACACAGAGCGAAAAACCAACUCGGAGUUUUAGAAAUGCUAACUAAAAGAAUGUCUAUGUUUGUCAAACCUAACCAACAAGCAAACUUUUAUUUAUAGCAUGUAAAUCGCAAGUUUAAUGUAUGCACUAGUAGAUAGAAAUUAGCCUACAAAUUCAUAACUUUGUUACUUUCUAGCUAUAUUUAUUAAGUAUUGAGUGCUAUUGUCACUGGUCUAAUAUUUUUAUCCAUUUCAGGGAACAAUUUUUGAUCCGGAGAGUGGCGACCGUUUGCACAUUGAGCUAGCUAAAUCAACUUCACGCAGACCUCGUGGAGGUGCCUUAAAUGCCAUUACAAACUUUAUUAUUAGAUUUUCCUGCCUGUUUGAUCGUUAUUUAAUGUUUGCAUGCUACCAUACUAAUUAUUUAUUUAAUGUAUCAUGCAACCAUGUCGAUUCUAAUCAUUUGAUGGUAAUUUUUACCUUAGGUGUCGAAGGCUACCGAGUUAUUGACAAACGGGCUAACAAAACAGAAGGAAAUGCUGACCAUGAAAACGUUGGUGAUGAAGAUGAUGACGAAGUAUGGGGGGAAGAUGAGGAUGGAGGCAAUGACAAUAAUGGUCAGCUUUAUUACUUGAUAUAUUUAUGAAUCACCUUCUUGUUUUUGUUAAAUGAGGUUACAUGAAAUGGCGCUUAUGUGGUAGAAACCCAGUCGCAACAUUCUAAUCUUGUUAAUAGGGCACUGGGAAAUCUUAAUAAUGCAUAUAUACAACUAUCCAAUCACAAUGAUGCGAUUAAACUCUGAAACUUUGUUGCUUUAUGGUAUGGUAAUGAAAAUAUGAAAUUCAGGCAUACCUUCUUUUCAGAAAAUAUAUAAAUCUAGCCCAUUGAUACAUAAACAUGGCUGCAACUAUCUGUAGUUUUUUAAUUUAAACCCACUUUGUAUUUUCCUUUUUCCUUUCUCCUAUUGCAGUUUCGGUUUGUUGAUGACUUUGAUGAAACCUCAUCCAUUGUUUUUUAUUAUGAAAAUUUCCAUGUUGAUUAAACAUUGUAACUAGGACUGAAUUAGGAUUGACAUAGCACCUAAUUAGGGGGUAGCAACUUUCUCACUCAUUUAAUGAAACAAAUGUAGUCUAGGUUUUCUAAUGGCACUAUAACUACUUCAUAGCAUAAACCUCACCUGCACAUUUUUGUUGGCACCAAACGUGUAGGUGAUGGAGGAUCAGAUGAGCCAUCGGGCACAGAAAAUGAAAAUCCCAGUGAUAAGAAUGAAUUGCCUACGGAUCAGAGGUUGGCACACAAUUCAUGUUACAAAUAGCUGGAGACGAUGCCCUUUCUUUAUCUUUUAUCUUAAUAAAAUAUCAAAGCAUCUUUUCUUGUGUUAUCAACUUUUCAUGGGUCUUCUAGUGGUUUAUCACGAAUAACAUUUCUUUUAAUGGGCAGUGAUCAACCAGGGCACAAGCAGCAGAAUGGGCAAUCUCUCUCAAAUGUGAGUUUAUUGUUAUGGUUUCACUUCAUGUAUUUAUACCUACAUCAUAGUUGUAAUAACUAAUGACAGCACACACUGUUGCAAGCCUAUGAAACAUUGUAAGUAGCUGCCAAUUUUUCAUUAGAUUGUUACUUGAACGACAUGCAUUUGUGCAUUGUGCUGGUAGGGGCUACUAAUUUUAAUAAUACCUAGAGGACCCUUGCCAAACUAUUCUUGAAAUGGGAUAUAUCUGCAUGUCUUGUCUCAAUAAUCAUCUAGUAUCUUGACUUACCCACCAAUCAAACUAGUGGGCAGAUUUUUUAGAAGUUUUUUGUUUCUUAGUUAAAGCUUGCUCGACAUGUACAAAGCUUGAUAAUAUGGCAUGUUUGGUGUAGGAAGGACGAGACAAAUCUUCAAGUGAUAUACCACCUUGCUCUACUAUCUUCAUUGCAAAUUUGGGACAUACAUGCACAGAGGACGAACUCAAGGAAGUUUUAUCCAAGUAUGAUGUGUGGAUUCUUCUAAUUUGCUUUUGAAGUGGAUCCAUAGUAAUGAAACUGCUCAUUGUUGUUCUAUAUUGUCAGGGAACCUGGAUUUCAUGUCCUUAAAAUGCGUCGCCGUGGUGGAAUGCCUGUAGCUUUUGCUGAUUUUACGGUAUACCUACCUAUCUAUACCUUUAUCGAUUUAACUAGUGACUUGAACUACUGCUGUUAUGUGGUCUAAAAAGUAAAAAAUGUUGUAUCUUGAACUACUCCCAGUUAAUGAAGUUUCUGAAGAUCACUUAGUAAGUUUUAAGCCAAUGCAAAAUGCUAGUUCUAUUAGCAUGAAUAAAUAAGUGCAAUAUUUUUACAAGGCUAGAAGGAAUGCAGUUUUUUAGGCCAUUCUCAAUGCAAGUUUCAUGAGAGAUUUUAUUUUAUUAAUUAGUAUGCCACAUAGGAUUUUUGAUAACAUGGCACUAUUUAUUAUAAAUUAGUCGAAACUAGUUUCAUCACCAUGAAACUAUGCCAACCCGUGUCCAAGGUAUUGGAAAGCGUGUGAGACCACCAUUGAGAGCAAUUUAUUUCAUUUCCAUCUAUUUCACCUAUUCAUAUUGGUUAUUUAGAUGCAACGUUAAAGUCAUAUGUUAGUCUAUGAAAUUGUGUCAUGAAACUCUUCAUUGAGGGUAUAUUUCAUCUUAUUUUUGUUGACUUGGCAAUAUUGAAAAUGGUGUGAUGAAACUAUCACCGAGAAUGACCUUAGAGCGACGCAUCAUCAUUUCAGCAUAGUUUUUUUUAUUUUUACUUUUUUACCAAGAGCCUGAGACAGGUGCUUGCAAUCUGCAGGAUAUUGAAUCGUCUACCGCUGCUAUGAAUAGACUCCAAGGCACUGUACUGGCAUCUUCUGAUAACGAUGGAUUGCACAUUGAGUAUCCUCAGAAUUACUUGCUUUUGUUUCAAUAUUUCUGUUUGUUCGAGCAUCCCCUUGAAACGACGUCAAAUGGUCUAGUAAGUUUUAUCGGAAAAGCCAGGAGUACCAAAUGCAUCUCUUAGUACAAGUUAGUUUCUCUUUUGGGUUUCGUAAUCUCGUAGUACAAGUUAGUUUCUCCCUUUUGGGUUUCGAACAAAGUUGGGUUUAUUGGUCUGCCAUUUCCGUGGUGUUCACCUUGUGAGUUUUAAAGAUCGUUUUGCAUUUGCCAUGAUGAAAUGUUACCCAAAUGUUGGUUCCUCGCUUCAAAGAUAAACGCAAUUGUUUGAUUUUGGGUAGGUUAGGCUCAACAUGUCGUGUCCGGUAUUUAUGCAACUGAGGAGGCUAGAAUCGCUGUCGCCGUUGUGCGUCACUGUUGAGAAUUACUCCUGGCUUAUCACAACGUGCUGUACAAUUUAUUCCAUUGAUUCGACAUCAGGCGCUGUUAUAUGGCCUUGUUUCCUUUAACUCCAGCAAACAGGUACGCAAGGUCGAAGAUGAGGAAAAGCUAAGUUGUUGGACUGCAAGGAUUGGCAGUGUCAUCUCCUGUCUGUCUUCCUGGAGGCUACCAGUAGGCAUCCCUGCACACGUAGCUGCGUGUAGCUGCUUGCUAAGCGUGAGAAUCCAGAACGGUGCUAAUUGUCCUGUAUGCCAUUAUACAAUACUCCCUCUUUUAAAUCAUGAGAUACUCUCUUCGUUUCAAAUUCAAAUUACAGCCCGUUUGGAUAAUUGGAAUUGAAUUCUAUUCUAAUAAUAGUAAUUUAGUCACAUAUCAAUUAAGCUAAUACGGUUUUAUACAAAAUAUAUUUAUAUAUUAUUAUUAGUAAGAUAUUAGAAAUAUUUGUGUUAUGUUUUACUAAAGACGAGUGAGCUGAAAAGCGUCCUGUAAAUUGUAGAGUGAAAAUAUAUUGUACUGAUAUAUAAAAUUAUUUUUCAUCCUCUAUAUAGGUUUAUAUCUAAACUUUAGAAAGUGACGGAAUAUUAAAUUUCAAAUUAAAGAGGUUACUUUAUUAAAUAAAUUCUAAUUUCUUAAGAUCAAAACGCCUCAUUAUAAGAUUUCUCGGCACUUCAAAGUACAUAUAUCUAAAAAAACAAAAGAACCAAAAGUUCUUCUAAUCUGAAAUGGAGAGAGCAUUUACUGGUACCGAGACAUCCAUUCUGGAAUCUGCUAUGAUCAGCGAUGAUCUGUACGGCAUCCUAGAGUUUCACAUGGAUCCAACACGGGACCAGAAUUCAUCAGAUCUUUGCCUAUGAUCAAGAGAAGUCAAAACCAACAACUGUUUGGUCCUGACUACGUACCUUUCCGUCUUCUGAUCGCCCGGUAUUGUUUCCUUCUUUUGUUCUCGAAAGAUUUAUCGCCCGGUACUGUCGAACGGCUCAGAGGCGUACACGGAAGUGGUCGAACUCGCUGCAGGGUCCCGCACCCUGCGUAGAAGUCUUUUUUCCCAAUGUAUCCUCCAUUCGACGCCGGGAACAUGGUGCCGCCGCCUCCCGAGUCCCGCCGAACUGCCAAGCGCGAACGCUUCCCGUCCUCUUUAAAGCCAGGUGUCGUCCAGUCCAAGUGCUUGCUCCCAACCAUUUCUGCGCGUGCGCCUCCACCGCCAGAACCCCGAAGAAGAGCAUCCCCCUCCUUGGAGAUUUUCAGUAACCGUUCCUGCUCGACGCCGACGGCAUGCCGACCGAGCGCGUCGAUGUCGCGGUCUCCUCACGGACGCUGCUGCGGGCGUCCGACCCGCCUCCGGACUUCCCCGCGGUGCUCCAGGCGUCCAACCUCGACCUCAUCCUCGGUUCCUUCCACAUCUACCUCAUCGCCAUGUACCCCGCCCCGGCCGCGGGCUUCCCCGCCGUGGUAGCUGCCGCGCGGGACGCCAUGCCCGCUUUCCUCUCUCGCUUCUUCCCUUUCGCUGGCCGCGUCGUCGCCAACGCCGACACCGGCGUGCCCGAGAUCGCGUGCGACAACACCGGCGCGGAGCUCGUGGUGGCGCGCGCUGGGGUGAGGCUCGCGGACGUCGACUUCGCGGACGCCGACCGCUCGCUGGGCCGCAUCGCGGUGCCGUUCCAGCAGGACCUCGCGCUGUCGCUGCAGCUGGUGCGGUUCGCGUGCGGCGGGUUCGCGCUGUCGUGGGGGACCAACCACCUGCUCGUGGACGGCCACGGUCUGACGGCGCUGCCCAGCGCGUGGGCGGAGCUGCUCCGCACCGGCGGCCUCUCGUGGGAGCCUCACCACGAGCGGGCCUCGCUCUUCCGGCCGCGGGACCCGCCGCGGUACAGCGCGUCGCUGGACGCCGAGUUCACGCGGUACGCGCCGGCGGGCCUCCCGAACUCGCUCCUGACGGCCACGCUCGUGCGCCGCAACUACGUGGUGUCCGCCGCGGACGUGGACCGGCUCCGCGCCGCGGCCAGCACCCCCGCGCGCCGCGCCACGCGGCUCGAGGCGCUGUCGGCGCACGUGUGGAAGCUGCUCGCGGCGGCCGUGGGCGGGCUCGACGCGCACUGCCGCAUGGCGUGGCUCGUGGACGGCAGGCCGCGCCUGGACGCCGCCAGGUACGACGGGGCCACCGUGCGGCGCUACCUCGGCAACGUGUUGACGUACGCGUCGCGGGAGGCGGCCGUGGAGGCCGUGUCGUCGUCCCCGCUGGCCGACGUGGCGGCCAUGGCGGGCGCGGCCAUCGCGGAGGUGUUCCGGUGGGAGCGGUACGAGGAGCUGGUGGACUGGAUGGAGGUGCACAAGGGGGUGUUCCGGGAGGGCGGCAAGUGGACGGAGGUGGUGGGCACCGGCAUGGGGAGCCCCGCGCUGGUGGUCUCUACGUUCGUGCCGUUCCGCGUGGAGGGGGACUUUGGGUUCGGCCGGCCGCGGUUGGUGUUUCCGUGGGUGCGCCCGGGGCGGCUGGGUUCCGCGGCCAUGACGGUGUCACGGAGCCCGCGGGAGGACGGGUCGUGGCUCAUCACCGCCAGGAUGUGGCCGCGACUUGCCGACGCCGUGGACGCGGACCCGGACGCCGUGCUCAAGCCGGCCACCGCCGCGCGGCUCGGGUUCGGCGCGCCCGAUCCGGCAGACGUGAUGCAGCAUGCUACCAGUCGCAUGUGAGUCAUAGAGUGGUUUGCCGUGCGCGAGCCGCGAGGCGAGCCGGUGGGCCUCAGCCCUCAGACUCAGGGUGGCACGGGCGGACAGAACAGCGCCCCUGUGGGCCUGCGUAUGACAUGGCGGCAUGGCGCUGACGGGAGUUUCAUGUGCGCCCAUCGAUCUGGUACAGUUUUGUACAUUUUUUAUCGGCACGAUCCAAGAAAAUAUUUUGGACAUUCACAGUAGCUCUCUCUCUCUUGACUGGAGAUAACGAAGAUGGUGGGACCGUGGGAGUAGCAGUGAGCGAUUGAAUCUGUUGGUGUCUUUUUGAUCGUCAAUCACUGCAUGAAAACUGACGGCUCUGCUCGCUGCAGAGGCGUGGACGGUCCGCGAACUGGGACAUAGCUAAGGGUUUCCUGCCUGACGACCAGACGGUCCGCGCGUGUGCAGGGACGGCGGAAGUCGCCGGCGGCACCUGGAUAUCGCUCUCGGGAGAGACCCCGUCGGGGAGGAGAGAUCCUAGGUGUUGUCUAGACUCGGCAGGCCGACCUAGACUCCUCUAAUCGACAUAGAGUCGAAGAGAAGCAGAAAAUUUGGGAAUUAGAGGGCUAAACUAGAACUAGACUAGAACUACUUCUAAAUGUACAAGAAAUAAAUGCGAGAUAAAUUGUUUAUUGAUUCGAUUGAUGAUUUCAAAUCGGCUGUAUUCCUCUGUAUUUAUAGAGGAGGGGGCUG
rnacentral:lncRNA from 1 species